UUUUUUUUAUUUUUUUAUUUUCUGUUUUUUGCACAGGUUACAAAAUGUAUAAUUGGACAAAAUAUAGACAGCACACAUCAACAACAGAUUCAUCGAAUACAAUAGAAGAUUAGUCUCUGAAUACAAUUCAUCAUUUUAGUCUCCGAAUACAAUUCAUCAUAUUAGUCUCCGAAUUGAAAAGACCGAACAAAGAUAGAACAUUAUAUUACAAGUCUCGAGACCGCGAGUUUGUCUUCACAUUACAAGUCGAUAUCGAUCAUCUAAACUACCAUCACAUAGAAGAGAGCUGCGGUCAUCACGAUGAGCAUCAUCACGAUGAAACUCGUCUUCAUCCGGUUCCUCCAACGCUCCCUCCCCUCUCCCGCUAGAUAGCGGGCGUAUCUAGAUUCGGCCUCGGCCCUAGUGGCGUACCCUUUGUAACUGUUACCGCUGAAUCGGUGAACCUGUCUCCGACACUCCUCCCAGUCGUCGUAGACUCCGGGAACCUUACCCUUGUACACGACAUACCACGGCAUCGCUAUGCAGUAGCCAAACGAAACGUUAGUACCAAUUCACAGACAAUACAUAAGCAAUAUAUAAGUAUGCAACAGAAUGAUCGGAAGAGAAAAGCAAGACAUUAAUAGCAUCGAUUACAUCUAAGUUGAAGGACUCUCGAAACCAAAGAGACAUACUACAAGUUCAUUAAAGUGUAAUUACAACAUGAGCCAAUCGAUGUUUCAGAACUAGACACAGCAUCACUGCUUUCGACUCGACUCAAGGGACCGGAGCGUGGAUGAAGCCGCCGUCUAUCGUGGGAGUCAUGAAACAACGGGCGUUGUCAGCCUGCAUUUGUAGGAUUGUGUCGAUGUCACUGUUGGACGGUUGAUUUCUGAGGUAGAACUGCCCCGAGGUACGAAGGACAUCUUGAUGGAUGAUUUCCGCAAACUCCGACUGGAUGCGAAAGAAUUCUUGUCUGAUGUCCGCGUCCUGGAUUGCUGACACGCUCGCGGCCCAAUCUUUGAGUCUACUCGGUAGCAGUAGUUGAUGAUGGUCCCGUACGAUCGCCCGCAUGUGAUGGAUGGCGUAGUAGGCACCCUUCUGACCGCCAGGCGGCUGCUUGACGCAGCAGAACGUCGUAUUGUGGGAGAACACGUGCUUGCCGUACUUACGAAUAGGCCUGGUGAAGGUGCCUCCAGAUUUGACGUAGCCGGGGAGAACAUCAUCAAGAACCUUCUUGACAUUUGUGUAGUCUACAUUUGACUGACGGUCCGGGUCGAAAUACGUGGCCAUGGAAUAUUUGGGGCUUAGGAGGAUGAGCGUGCAAUGUGUGUCACUGCAGAAAACACGGAAUGUUAAAAGAAAAACAAUCGAAAUCUAAGAAUUCAUAUGUUACGGGGCGGUUGAGGGGAGGACUUACUCGGGAAAGUAAGGCACGAGGAAGUUGUCCUUAUCUUGGUUUGCCAGAAUGACGCUUCGAGGUAAGAACUCGCGACUUGCCGGUCCCCAGCGCUGCCCAAGAUCUUGGCACGCAUGUAGAAGGGGUCGACUAUCACGAUGUCCGGGGUCUUGUCGCGAAUGAUCCGCAUCUCCAUACUCAGCGAAAAUAGCCGAACGAAGGUGUAGUGCAGCGGAUGAAGGUUCAACAUAGCGUGGAUGUCAUCAAACCGCAGGACGAUCGUACCCCCGAUGGAGUUAUCCACAAAGCCCUUGCCCCUGGCACCUUGGCCGCGAAAACCGGGUAUGCCACAUCCUUCUCUCGGAGACGCCGCUUCUCCAAAGAAAGAACACUGUCAUGCAGACUCCGCAUAGCACCGGUUGCAGCAUCGAGCAUAUUUCUCGGUAGCAUCGGCCUACCCGCCACAUGCACCCUCCUCGAGAUAUCCGCAGUUGAAGGUGGCCCGUCCUGAGCACGGAUCGUACUCGGUGCCGGCUGGCCCGCACCCUUGUUAGUCUUUCUUUUGCGUGCCUUCUUCUUGAUCUCCUGUAAUGGGACCGAGUUCUGCUCACAGACCGCCUUCUUGAGUGUGUUGGGGCUGAUCAUAUUUCGCACCUUGCCUAUCUGAGGCUCGGUGAAGUCAGCAGCUGGAGGCGUCUCCUGAGAGCUGAACUGCAGACGACGCCUGUUGCAACUUGGCUUCUCCGCGGUACCAGCUAGAUCGCACACGUCUUUUGUUGGGUUGGGUUCUUGAGAAGGAGGCCCCAUGAAGUCGCCACCGUCCCCAUGAUCGGCAAAGUACUGAUUGACGUUGGCAAAUGUAUCGUCGUCGUCGUCGUUCUGAUCCUGUGCCAUAUGCAUGUUUGGAUCCAGUGGCAUAGGGAUGUCCGGCACCGUUGCGGCGGUCUUGCCAUGGGGCCGACUUGGCGCCGGCACGACUGGCGGUGUUGUCUUUGGGGUGGUGUCCCCCGCCCCCAAAUGAAUCUGGCUCUUCGGCCAAAGCAGGGGCUAGCUUAGGCAGGCGCUAAGGUUCAUCACGUCAUCAUCGUCGGCCCCGAUGGGUCGAAUCGGAGGUAACACCUCGUCGCAGCCUGGCAGCACCCGAACCAGUUGAACCCUAAACAAGUUGGGUGGCAUCUGGGUACCGUGGAACAAGGGGUUGCCCGGUUGAACAAUUUUGCCCUUGGCGACAUCGACCAACUCGUUGUUCACGAAGUGCAGGAGAGUGCACGGAACGUCGGCGGCGCCCUGCGAAAACAUGUAGGGCGUUAGGGAUGCCCAGUCAAAGGCAAGGAGAUGAAGUCCUCGGCCGAGAGAGGCUUAAUUAGUUACCGUGAUGAUGGCGUCGAGCUCGGCUAAUGUCGCGGCACCGCCAACGGCGGGCGUGCAGUUGACGGAGGGGCCGCUUGCUGCAGAGGUGCCGGCCGGCGUACACCCGGGUGCAUUAAGCUCCCGUGCCAGCGUCGGAGACACCAAUGCCGGCUCCGCCGGAGACACCAAUGGCCCCGCCAUCGCGUUCUGCGAGUUGCUGGCCGUGAAGCUAGGAAUCGGGGGCGGCCCCUGUUGGCCGCCCGCAAUCCACGCACUAAUCCCCUGGAUCAAGGUAGGCACAAUGGCGGUGAUCGUCGCUCCGAGUUGUUGUUGCACUUGCUCUUGGACAAUCUCCGGAAUCCGCGCCACCUGUGCCCUGAGUUCUUGAACCUCGCGCGCCUGGCUUUCCGAGCUGGUCUUUUUCUCCUUUCGCCCAGCAGUGUCAUAGUAUGAUGACCAUUUUGUCGACAAGCCUUUGCCGGCCACACGACCAGCUGAUGUCGGCUUACUGAGCUUAUCCUUGUUCUUCAUUACAUUCAACGCCCUAUUUAGAGUGGUGUCCCAAGGGUUGCUCUUAGUCGACCCCGCGCUACUGCUUUCAGUCGCCUGCGGAAGGAAUGUGAACCAUUUAGAAAUUUGGCUUCAUUAAUUAGAAUGCAACCAUAUGGAGCUAAUUACGAGGGGGUUUAUUCCUUACCAGAAUAAGCUCAAGCGCCCUGGUCUUCGGAUCCGUGGUAAGCUCCUUUGUUUUCGGGUCCUUCUUGUACCGGGCCCUGACAAAGUUCCUGGUCUGCUUGUCACCGUAUUUAUCGAAGAGGGGCGGUAGGCCUUGCUCGGCACGGUCCGCCUCCUCCUUGUCCCAUAUAGGCUCCGCCACUCUGUAACCGCCGGGACCGAGUGUGUGUUCCCCUAAGUUCAGCUCCCGCAUUUCUUUCCCCCCACUUACUUGAUUCGGAGUAUGCGGUGCUCGAGCAAUUGAUCUUGAAGUCGUUGUAGUCAUCUUCGGUGAUCGAAGGAUUUUUCUCCUUGAUCUUCUCAUAACUCUCACCUUUCUCGAUCAUUCUCUUCACAUUGCUUUUCCAAGUAGACAGGGCCUUGCUCAUCUUCGUGAGGGCAGCAUUGUUCACUUUAUUCCCUUUGAGGCUUGUGUUUUCAAAUUCAGCGGGGAACUUGUAUCGUUCGUGCAGCUUCGUGAAGAGGAGGUUGCGCAAAUUCCCUCGGUCAGGAUGCCUCAGGUUCUCGGUGUUGAUCGAGACGGUGCUCCGGAGAAUGCACCCGAGCUGAAGCGAGUACCCCUUGACUAUUCGUUCGGGCGCCGUUGGAUUCCCGUCGGAGUCCACUUCAGUAACUUCCUCCUUGAGGGUGCGGAGCACGGUCGGGCGCCGGUCCUUCCGUUGCCUCUUCGGUUGGCUGCCAUCUGUGCGUGCGCCGCCAUCAUCAGUGGUGGCAUCCUCGGCGGCACCAUCAGUGGUGGCAUCCUCGGCGGCACCAUCAGUGGUGGCAUCAGUGGGGUCAUCCUCGGCGGUACCAUCAGUGGUCUCAGGAUCGGUGGGGAAGGCGGCGUUCUCAUACAAGUGAGGUUGUUCCACCAUCUCCUGGGACAGCUUCCAGAAUGGCUUGACGCUCGAACCCCCGGCCUCAUCGUUGUUGGCCAUGUUUCUCUCUAAAUAGGAACAAAGUUUGGUCAAAAAGUUGGUUAUUGUCAAGGAACAAGAUCAUGGUCUCAUCAUUUAGGGUUUGUCGACACCGAGGCAUCCUAAAAGCUAAGCUUUUAUCAUUGAGGGUUUUUCGACGCCGAGGCACCCUAAAAGCCUAAGCUUUCAUCAUUUCGGUUUUUAUCGACACCGAGGCACCCUAAAAGCCAUGCAUUAGUCACAAGUACGCCGGGGCACUUGAUCCUACUUAAUUACCUACUAAGAUACCCCGGCCCAUGCAUUAGUCACAAGUACCCCAUAUGUCCUAUUUUUAGCAAAGUCAUGCUAAAAUUCACGAAAAUUUUUAGCAUGACCUUUGCUGAAAAUAGGACAUAUGGAGUACCCGAAUUUGCCGGAACGGAAGUUAAUCGACAUUCCGGCAAACUCAAGGGCCUCUCGGGUGGACAAGGCAAAAAAGGCCUCCAUCACAACAUGGAAAAUACAUUGGCAUGUGAAGAGGUGAAACAAUAUAUGCAUCUCCAAGCAGUAUCAUCUCCAAGCAGUAUCAUAUUUGUAAUGACUGAAAAUAUUUACUUCAGGAAAUAUUUACUACUGUAGUUUCUGUUACAAACAAAAAAAAGACUGAAGUUUGUCCUAGCUAUAUUUCAGGAUGAUUUUUCAGUUGCUCAUGCUUUUUACAAAUUGUAGCUACUGUUUUUUAUACCUAAACAAAAUUGCCCUAGCUAUAUUUGCUACUGUUUUUAUACCUAAUUUUUUGCUACUGUUUUUUUAAUUUGCUACUGCUUUUUUUAUUUGCUACUGCUUUUUUAUACAUACACCACCAAAGUCCAAAGAGUAACCACUUAUAAGCUACCAGGAGUAAGUAACUAACUAAAUACACUUCUAUAACAAAAUAAAUCAGAAACUUAGUUUUCAGUGUAAUGAAACUAAUUUGGCGUUGUAGGUCUUGAUAUAUUUUUCUUAUGGACUUGGUCAAAUUUGAAUAAGGACAAAGCUAGAACUUCAAUUAAUUUGGAAUGGAGAGAGUAAUCCACAAUAGAUAAACUGAAGCAUACUAAAUGAAGACAAGCUCUUGGAUGCUACACCUUAGUUUUAGAAUAGACAAACAGACACGUUCUAACUUCUAAUGGAAAACAUGGUUAGAUAGAUGAUUACAAAUUGCACAUGAAAGAACAGGGGUAAAUAUUGUUAACAGAAGACAGCCAAACAAAUAUAUUGCUCUUUAUGAGGUUAUGAGGUUACAGAGUACAAACUUAACUUGAGAAUGACAGUGUUCAAAAUAGUCAAUGAAAAAUUCAUCAGUACUGAACAUAAUUAACAGAAGUUAUUUUGAUGGUAUAUAAGAAUAUUUAUGGAACAAACAACAUGAAGAUAGCUGCAAUCUUAAACAAAAAUCAAAGCACACUUGUCUGUAAAAAGCUAACAAACUAUGUGAUGCUUCCAGCUAAUAUGUUCAGAGAACAGGACCAUGAGAAAAAAUAACAGAAACUAUAUGAUUUAACUGGUUUCAAAACAUGAAGUCCUAAAAGCUCUUGUUUUUGACUUUGCAUCCACUGAUAAAGAAGAAUCAGAGUAGUGAGCACGACUGUAAAUGUUCUGAAAAUUAAAAGAAAAGAGAGAUUGCAUGUUCAUCUUAGCUGCAGUCCUGAUCGUGAGAAGUACAUCCUAUAUGUUUUACCAAGGGAACAGUAGGGAUAACAGAAAGUCACUGUUGUCACUGUCCUAGUGAAGAAUUUUGUGCUAUCUACCUUCUUGGUUUACCCCCUAGUGCUUCGAUACAUAUGCAAUUACACAACUGAACAGUAGUAUGCUGGUUUUACUUACAUGAACAAAAUUUAUGUUGGGAGCAGGGAGUAUCCCUGCUGUACGUGUCAGAAAAAAUAUGGUUGAUUCUAGAGCUAAGUUGAUACUCCAAGAGGUGUUCUACGCAUGGGAGCUCCAUUUAAAUCAAACAUAGUAUGCAGUUCCCAAACAAAAUGUACUCAGGAGUCCAAAAGCGAAGUUCAGAGACAGAUUGUUGUAUUAGGAGCAGAGAGGGAGAGGUGGGAAAUGGAGGCGGGGGUGAUUUGGAUGGGGUACCUGCGGGCGUAGAAGACAGGGGCGUCGUCGGGGACGAAGACGUCGACGCUGUGGAUGUUGGUGGUGGUGCGACGAGGUCCGAGAGGCGACGAGGUCCGGGUGGUGGUGGUGCUCCGAGGAGACGAGGAGAGCGGCGCCAAGGAGACGAGGACGACGGGGCGGCGGGGCGGCGGCGUCGGGAGAGGAGAGGGCGGCGUCGCGGUGUCGGGGCGUCGGGGCGGAGACGAGGACGACGGGGCGGCGUCGAGGCAGCGGGGCAGCGGCGUCGGGAGAGGAGAGGGGAAGGGGAUCGAGGGCGAGGGCAAGGGAGAGAGAGGGGAUAGGUUAUCCAACAGGUACAUCCAUACUAAUGGCGCACCUCACCCUGGUGCGCCAUAAGUACAUCCAUACUAAUGGCGCACCUCACCCUGGUGCGCCAUAAGUACAUCCAUACUAAUGGCGCACCUCACCCUGGUGCGCCAUUAGUAUUUUUUUUUAUUUCUGCUCGAGCCAACAGGUUAUCUUCCACCUUACCUGAUCCACACCAAGUUCCCUCUACUAGCUCGACUGGUCAGUAGCCAGUUCUCACACCAGGAGGUCCUGGGUUCGAUUCCCAGGCUCCACAAUUUUUUUAUGCAUUUAAAAUGCUGUUUGAUAUUUAUUUGUGUUUAAAUAUGUUCAAACUUGUUUAAAUCAUAACAGUAAUAUUUUUUUAUAAGACAGUAAUAAUUUUUUUUAAAAAUAUCAUCAAACAGUAAUGCCGGUGGAGCGGGGGAGGGUGCGCGGGGUGCGGGGGGCCGGUGGACCGGGGGGUGCUCGGCGGCGAGGGGGACCGGAUCUGGCGAGGUGGGAUAGCUAGCGAUCGAGAUGGAGGGGGAUCGAGAUCGAGUGUCUAUGAAAUUUAAAAAUAUUCAUGAUAGUUCAAAAAGUGCCCAUGAAAUACAAUCGAGAAAUGAAGGCUACGAUUUAAAUACAGUCGAUCUUAGCUAGCUAUCUGUUCACAAUCUUCUUGCCCUUCUUUUUCGCAAAUGGAGUUCUUCUGUGGAACGGACGUCCUUUAGGUAGGGUGGUCCUGCUUCUUCUUGUGGUGUAUGCUGCUACUUCAUCAUCGUCGUCAUGUUCGAUUCUCGGGUCGCCGUACUUGUCGAAGUCUUGCUCAUUGGCUACUCCAUCCAUUCCGAUGAUCUUCCUUUUGCCUCUCCUCACGACAACACGACUGGGCUUUGACGGGUCGGUAAUGAAGAAGCAUUGGUCCACUUGGGAAGCCAGUACCCAUGGCUCAUUUUUCGCGGUGACGUUUGCGCCUGCGGUCUUGGAUUUGGCUUCGGGUAUAACCAUGGUGGUGAAAUACCGGUCUUCUUUUAGGACGCUCUUGGCCCAUCUGACACGGAACAUCGGGACCUUCUCUCCAGCGUAGCUCAGCUCCCAGAUCUCCUCGAUCCUUCCGUAGUAUCUGUCCUUGUCGUUACCGGUGUAGGAUUCCAUCGUUACCCCGGAGUUCUGAUAACCAUCGCUCUUCAUGUCCUUGGCCUCGGUGUAGAAUGUGUAGCCGUUGAUAUCGUACGCCUCAUAGGUCAUCAGGUUGUGCUCGGUGCCCUGUGACAAGGCGAAUAUGAGUUGUUCUUCCGCGGAAGAAUCCUCAUGUAAAGGGUACGACGGAAGCUUCUGCUUGAACCAACGCGUGAAACAUGAGUUGUGCUCUUUGAGUAUAUGUCCGUCCGUCCUCUGUUGGCCUCGGUCAUUGUACGUCUUCUUAAUAAAGGUUUUGUGCUCUACCACCCAAGGAUCGACCACGUCUAUGUGUUGUAGCGCGACUAGGUUUGCUCUUUCAAAGUCGGCGAGUUGACCCUCGAAGUCGACAUGCAUUUCGCGGCGACCCUCACGGUGACCCCAUCCAGCGAGCCUGCCGAGGUGCCUGUUGACGGGCAGACCAACGGGGUUCUCGAUGCCUAGAUAAUUCGUGCAGUAGGAGAUGCACUCUUCGGUCAGAAAGCCCCUGGCUAUGCUUCCCUCUGGACGUGACAUGUUGCGAACGUAUCCUUUGAUGACACCAUUCAUCCUUUCGAACGGCAUCAUGCUGUGCAGGAACGUCGGCCCGAGUUGGAUGAUAUCGUCCAUGAUAUGGACCGGCAGAUGCACCAUAACGUCGAAGAAUGCGGGCGGGAAGUACAUCUCAAGAUCGCAUAGUAUCACCACGAUCUCUUCCUGUAGCCUUCUGAGUUGCCUCACGCCAACAGACUUUCGAGAGAUGACGUCGAAAAAGUUGCAUAGGCCAAAUAGCGUUUCACGGACGUGCGCGUCCAUGAUCCCACGGAUUGCAACUGGAAGUAUCUGCGUCAUCAGCACGUGACAGUCAUGAGACUUCAUCCCGCUGAACUUCAGCUUCGCUAGGUCUAGGUAUCUGCUUAUCUUCCCCGCGUAACCGUAAGGAAGUUUUACUCCUACGAGGCAGGUGAAAAACUGCUCGAUCUCCUCCUGACUUAGAGUGAAGCACGCGGGAGGGUAGUCAUUUCCGGUCUUCUUGGCCUUUUUGCCUUUGCGACGACUUUCCGUGUCCUGCUUCGCCUCAUCAUCAUCAUCAUCAUCAUCAUCAUCAUAUAUAGCGUGAAGCUCCUGCCUGAUGCCCAUUGAUUUCAAGUCUGCCCUUGCUUUCGGCCCAUCUUUGGUCCUCUCUGGCAUGUUGAGCAGGGUACCAAGCAGACUCUCGCACACGUUCUUCGUGAUAUGCAUGACAUCAAGGCUGUGAGGCACACGGUGGAUCUUCCAGUACGACAAGUCCCAGAAAACAGACCUCGUUUUCCAUACCUUCAGCAGCGGCUCUGGCGCCUUUCGCUUCUUUCCCGGCUCUGGCGCCUUUUGCUUCUUUCCCGGCAGUGGGCAGUCUUUCCAAUUUUUCAACAGCUCGUCUAUUUCCUCGCCGCUCCUCGUACGCGGGCGUCCUCGGGGUUCGGUUUCACCAUCGAAUAGAUCCUUGCGUUUUCUCCACGGGUCAUCGUCGCGAAGCCACCUUCGAUGUCCCAUGAACACGGUUUUCGAAGACCCGGGAUCUCUAUCUAGCUGGCGAUACGUUGUGUCAUCCAUGCACCUGACGCAUCCAGAAAAUCCGUGGACCACCUGCCCCGCGACAUAUCCGUAACCGAGAUAGUCGUGCACCGUCGUGAGCAGCGCGGCUCUCAUAGGGAAAUAUUCUUUCUCUACGGCGUCCCACGUAUUGGCUGGCGUUUUCCACAUCGUGUCAAGCUCCUCUUUCAGCAGCCCCAGAUACAGAUUGAUGUCGUUCCCUGGUUGUUUCGGUCCUUCGAUUAGCAUACUCAUGUGAAUGUACUUUCUCUUCAUGCACAACCAGGGGGGAAGGUUUUACAUCCACACAAACACAGGCCAGGUGCUAUGUGUGCUUCUCUGGCUGCCAAACGGAUUGACUCCAUCGGUGCUCGCACCCAGCACGAUGUUCCUUGGAUCGUUCCCAAAUUCUAGGUCUUCGAAGUUCAACGCUUGCCACUGGCUCGCAUCCUUAGGGUGACUCAGCAUCUUGUCUUUUUUAUCUAUCUCCGGAUCAUUUGCGUCAUCUUCUCGCUUCUUCUCCUCCCUAUCCGCGUGCCAACGCAGGAGCUUUGCUACCUUAGGGUCCGCGAAAUACCGCUGCAGAUGAGGAGUGAUCGGAAAGUACCACACCACUUUUCGAGGAGCUUUCUUCCUCUUCUUGUAUCGAGUGACGCCGCACACCGGACAUAUGGUAGACUCCGCGUGCUCGUCCCGAUAAAUGAUGCAAUUGUUCAUGCACACAUGGUAUUUCACGUGCGGUAAAUCCAGAGGACACACGAUUUUCUUCGCCUCCUCCAAACUGGUUGGGCACUUGUUCCCCUUGGGAAGACGUUCGUGCCAGAAUGACAUGUUCUCGUCGAAGCAUGCGGCGGUCAUUUUGUGUUUUACCUUCAUCUCCAGAGCCAUGAGCGGUACUUUCAGGCGGGUAUCCUCGGGCCUGCAUCCUUCAUACAAUGGAGUAACCGCGUCUAACUCAAGUUGAUCCAUCUUGGCUUUCUCUCGGGCGGCAGCUCUUGCGUUAUCCGUCUGCUUGAGAAGCAGCUCUUGAAUAUGAGGGUCCUGCACCCAGCCCAUCGAUGGUCCAGCGUCGUCUGCUCCGCCGGCAUCAUCAUCUUCAUGAUCAUGCCCGUCGUCUGCUCCGGCAUCUUCCUCAUCAUCAUGUCCUGCAUCUUCUACAUGAUGACUGUGUACAGCAUCACCGUCGUGAUCAUCUCUUGGGGAUUCUUCGUCUUCUCGCCCGCCCGAGCCGCGGUGGUUGUCUUGCUGCCCUUCCUCAUUUCUUGCCCGACCCCCAUGGACGACUUCGUAGUCAUCUUCAUCACCUUGCCACCGAUAGCCAUCCAUGAAACCACGCAAGAGCAGGUGGUCCCGCACCUGCCCGGAUUCCGGGUCCGCAAUAAGGCUCUUCAGCUUGCAUCUUCGACACGGACAUCUUAUCUCCGUCUCGUUCUUUUGAAGCAUCUUGGCCUUCACGGACCUCAAAAACCUAUUCACGAUGCCUUCGGUCAUCAUGCGGACCAUGGUCGCCUGCGGGGUAGAGCAAAACGAUAUUUUAGAACCAAGAAAAAAUUUGGCAUGACUUUCCCUAAAAAUAGGACCAAAAAGAAUGCUUAAUGCCAAAAUUCUCGCCGAAACGGAAAUGAAUCAACAUUCCGGCAAAAUAUUGGCAACUAUCGCAUUUCAAAUACCGGUACACCUCCAAACACAAACACAUAUGCAACACCACAAACAUAUGCAACACCACGAACAUACAUAGAUCUAGCUAGGCCAUAAAAAGUGCAUGUGCACAUUGUUGUAGGGAGAACAACAUAAAUAUAGCUUCCCCCCUUACUUACCUAUCAAAACAAGGUAAUUUAACCACUUAAAUUGAAUGAAUCUAUGGUGGAAAUGAGGUGAAAAAGAGGAGGCACCCGAGACAAGGAGGAGGUGGAGAGAAUGAAGUGGGGAGAAAGUGAGUGUGGGUAGGAGAGGCUGUCCAAAAUAUCUUGUUGCUGCCCACUUACUAAUGGCGCACCAACUCUAAAUGCGCCGUUCGUAAUCCAGGUUACUAAUGGCGCACCUUCUGGUGGUGCGCCAUUAGUAUGUUUGGACAGGCGCACUAGUUAAAAAUUUUUUGAUACUAAUGGCGCACCCUGGGCCAGGUGCGCCAUUACUAGUUACAACUAGUAAUGGCGCACUGUGUCUGGAUGCGCCAUUAGUAUGUUUGGACAGGCGCACUAGUUAAAUUUUUUUUGAUACUAAUGGCGCACCCUGGGACAGGUGCGCCAUUACUAGUUACAACUAGUAAUGGCGCACUGUGUCUGGAUGCGCCAUUAGUAUGUUUGGACAGGCGCACUAGUUAAAAAAAUAUUUUUUUUGGAUACUAAUGGCGCACCCUGGGCCAGGUGCGCCAUUAGUAUGUUUGGACAGGCGCACUAGUUAAUUUUUUUUGAUACUAAUGGCGCACCCUGCGCCUGGUGCGCCAUUAGUAGUUUCAACUCUAAUGGCGUAUCAGAAGGUGGUGCGCCAUUAGUAUAUACUAAUGGCGCACCACUUGUCUGGUGUGCCAUUAGUGUCAAUCCCAUCUAUAGCCCUUUUUCUAGUAGUGUAGGGAUCAAACCCUAACAAAACUAACUCGAUUACAUGAUAAAUCUCAUCCAACCCAUCACCGUCCAGCAAGCCUACGAUGGAAUUACUCAUGCACAGCGGUGAGCAUCAUGAAAUUGGUGAUGGAGGAUGGUUGAUGAUGACGACGGCGAUGGAUUCCCCUCUCCGGAGCCCCGAACAGACUCCAGAUCAGCCCUCCCGAGAGAGAUUAGGGCUGGGCGGCGGCUCCGUAUCGUAAAAUGCGAUGAAUCCUUUUCUCUGAUUUUUUUCUCCCUGAACGUGAAUAUAUAGAGUUGGAGUUGAGGUCGGUGGAGCCUCAGGGGGCCCACAAGACAGGGGGGCGCGCCCAGGGGGGCAGGCGCGCCCUCCACCCUCGUGGACAGGGUGUGGGCCCCCUGGAGUUGAUUCCUUUGCCAGUAUUUUUAUUAAUUCCAAAAAAUAUUCUCCGUGAAGUUUCAGGUCAUUCCGAGAACAUUUAUUUCUGCACAAAAAUAACACCAUGGCAAUUCUGCUGAAAACAGCGUCAGUCUGGGUUAGUUCCAUUCAAAUCAUGCAAGUUAGGGUCCAAAACAAGGGCAAAAGUGUUUGGAAAAGUAGAUACAAUGGAGACGUAUCACUCUACAGGUGUCUCCGAAGCUGUUUAUUGGGUUGGCAUAGAUCGAGAUUAGAAUUUGUCACUCCAUGUAUCGGAGAGGUAUCUCUGGGCCCUCUCGUUAAUGCACAUCACUAUAAGCUUUGUAAGCAAUGUGACUAAUGAGUUAGUUACGGGAUGAUGCAUUACGGAACGAGUAAUAAGACUUUCCGGUAACGAGAUUGAACUAGGUAUUUGUUGGAAAUAUGCCCUAGAGGCAAUAAUAAAAUGGUUAUUAUUAUAUUUCCUUGUUCAUGAUAAUUGUCUAUUGUUCAUGCUAUAAUUGUGUUCUCCGAAAAUCGUAAUACAUGUGUGAAUACAUAGACCACAACAUGUCCCUAGUGAGCCUCUAGUUGACUAGCUCGUUGAUCAAUAGAUGGUUACGGUUUCCUGACCAUGGACAUUGGAUGUCAUUGAUAACGGGAUCACAUCAUUAGGAGAAUGAUGUGAUGGACAAGACCCAAUCCUAAGCAUAGCACAAGAUCGUGUAGUUCGUCUGCUAAAGCUUUUCUAAUGUCAAGUAUCAUUUCCUUAGACCAUGAGAUUGUGCAACUCCCGGAUACCGUAGGAAUGCUUUGGGUGUGCCAAACGUCACAACAUAACUGGGUGGCUAUAAAGGUGCACUGCGGGUAUCUCCGAAAGUGUCUGUUGGGUUGGCACGAAUCGAGACUGGGAUUUGUCACUCCGUGUGACGGAGAGGUAUCUCUGGGCCCACUCGAUAGGACAUCAUCAUAAUGAGCUCAAUGUGACCAAGGAGUUGAUCACGGGAUGAUGUGUUGCGAACGGCUAAAGAGACUUGCCGGUAACGAGAUUGAACAAGGUAUAGGGAUACCGACGAUCGAAUCUCGGGCAAGUAUCAUACCGGUAGACAAAGGGAAUUGAGUACGGGAUUGAUUGAAUCCCGACAUCGUGGUUCAUCCGAUGAGAUCAUCGUGGAAUAUGUGGGAGCCAACAUGGGUAUCCAGAUCCCGCUGUUGGUUAUUGGCCGGAGAGAUGUCUUGGUCAUGUCUGCAUGCCUCCCGAACCCGUAGGGUCUACACACUUAAGGUUCGAUGACGCUAGGGUUAUAGGGAAAGUUUGUACGUGGUUACCGAAUGUUGUUCGGAGUCCCGGAUGAGAUCCCGGACGUCACGAGGAGCUCCGGAGGUAAAGAAUAAUAUAUAGGAAGUGAGGUUUUGGCCACCGGAAGUGUUUCGGGCGUCACCGGUAAUGUACCGGGACCACCGGAGGGUUCCGGGGGUCCACCGGGAGGGGCCACCAGCCCCGGGGCUUGCAUGGGCCAAGAGUGGGAAGGGACCAGCCCCUGAGUGGGCUGGUGCGGCUCCCACCAGGGCCCAAGGCGCAGAUGGGCCUAAGGCCCACCCUAGGGCGCGCCCCCCUCUCUUUCCCUCUUGGCCGCCCCCCUCCAUCCCAUCUAGGGCUGUCGCCCCCCUAGGGGUGGGAACCCUAGAGGGGGCGCACCCUCCUCCCCUCCUCCUAUAAAUACUGGGGGGUUUGGGGCUGCCUAAGACACGAGUCUCUCUCUCUCGGCGCAGCCCUACCUCUCCACAUCCUCGUUCUCCAUAGGGCUUGGCGAAGCCCUGCUGGAAACCACGCAGCUCCACCACCACCACGUCGUCGUGCUGCUGCUGGAGUUGUCUUCCCCAACCUCUCCCUCCUCCUUGCUGGAUCAAGGCGCGGGAGACUUCACCGGGCUGCACGUGUGUUGAAUGCGGAGGCGCCGUUGUUCGGCGCUUAGAUCGGAAUCGACCGCGAUCUGAAUCAUUGCGUGUACGACUCCUCCAACCGCAUUCUUGCAACACUUCCGCAACGCGAUCUUCAAGGGUAUGAAUAUGCACUCCCCUCUCUCUCGUUUCUAGUCUCUCCAUAGAUUGAUCUUGGUGAUGCGUAGAAUUUUUUUAAUUUCUGCAUCGAUCCCCAACAGUGGCAUCAUGAGCUAGGUCUAUGCGUAGUUUCUAUGCACGAGUAGAACACAAGUUGUUGUGGGCGUCGAUUUUGUCAAUUUACUUGCCGUUACUAGUCUUAUCUUGAUUCGGCGGCAUCGUGGGAUGAAGCAGCCCGGACCGACCUUACACGUACGCUUACGUGAGACAGGUUCCACCGACUGACAUGCACUAGUUGCAUAAGGUGGCUAGCGGGUUGAUGUCUACUACACAACCUUCUUCUUGUAGACGUUGUUGGGUGAUACGUCUCCAACGUAUCUAUAAUUUUUGAUUGCUUCAUGUCUUAGUCCUUUCGAAUUUCUAAGUUGGGAAUUUGAUAUCGACUAAAUCAAGAAACUCGAUUUCACUAUGAUAUGACCACUGAACCCUUUGAUGCAACAUUUCUUGUUUCCAGAAGAUCUCGGAUGGUUUCUGAAGCUUCCAUGAUCUUGUAAAAGAAAGGAACCCUUUCUAUAAGUCAUGAAGACGUGGACCAAAAGACUAAGAAACUGCACAAUCUAUUGAUUGACUGAAAAACUCAAGCUGAGUAACUUGCUUGAAUGAUCGCUCCGGCUCUGGGCCGUCUGAUCUUCGGGAUGCAGAAUAGGGGAUCACUUGCCAACCGUUAGUUAGGACCAGUGAAAACCCAUGCUUGGUGAAGGCGAAGUUCAGUUUGGAGAUCUAACAAUUCCUUAUGUCGUGUAUCCUCGAUUGAUGCAGCCUCAGAUGCCUAUAUUAUAUUCUGUUUUGGACAUUAUUGGGCUUUAUUAUACACUUUUAUAUUAUUUUUGGGACUAACCUAUUAACCGGAGGCCCAGCCCAGAAUUGCUGUUGUUUUGCCUAUUUCAGAGUUUCGUAGAAAAAGAAUAUCAAACGGAGUCCAAACGGAAUGAAACCUUCGGGAACGUGAUUUUCAGAAUGAACGUGAUCCAGAGGACUUGGACCCUACGUCAAGACAUCAACCAGGUAGGCACGAGGUAGGGGGCGCGCCCUCCACCCUCAUGGGCCCCAUGUUGCUCCACCGACGAACUUCUUCCUCCUAUAUAUACCUACGUACCCCCAAACUACCAGAUACGGAGCAUAAAACCUAAUUCCACGGCGCAACCUUCUGUACCCGUGAGAUCCCAUCUUGGGGCCUUUUCCGGAGCUCCGCCGGAGGGGGAAUCGAUCACGGAGGGCUUCUACAUCAACACCAUAGCCUCUCCGAUGAUGUGUGAGUAGUUUACCUCAGACCUUCGGGUCUAUAGUUAUUAGCUAGAUGGCUUCUUCUCUCUCUUUGGAUCUCAAUACAAAGUUCUCCACGAUUCUCGUGGAGAUCUAUUCGAUGUAAUCCUCUUUUGCGGUGUGUUUGUUGAGACCGAUGAAUUGUGGGUUUAUGAUCAAGUUUAUCUAUGAACAAUAUUUGAAUCUUCUCUGAAUUCUUUUAUGUAUGAUUGGUUAUCUUUGCAAGUCUCUUUGAAUUAUCAGUUUGGUUUGGCCUACUAGAUUGAUCUUUGUUGCAAUGGGAGAAGUGCUUAGCUUUGGGUUCAAUCUUGCAGUGUCCUUUCCCAGUGACAGUAGGGGCAGCAAGGCACGUAUUGUAUUGUUGCCAUCAAGGAUAACAAGAUGGGGUUUAUAUCAUAUUGCAUGAAUUUAUCCCUCUACAUCAUGUCAUCUUACUUAAAGCGUUACUCUGUUCUUUUGAACUUAAUAAUCUAGAUGCAUGCUGGAUAGCGGUCGAUGUGUGGAGUAAUAGUAGUAGAUGCAGGCAGGAGUCGGUCUACUUGUCGCGGACGUGAUGCCUAUAUACAUGAUCAUACCUAGAUAUUCUCAUAACUAUGCUCAAUUCUGUCAAUUGCUCAACAGUAAUUUGUUUACCCACCGUAAUACUUAUGCUCUCGAGAGAAACCACUAGUGAAACCUAUGGCCCCCGGGUCUAUUUUCCAUCAUAUUUAAUCUCCCGACAACAAGCUAUUUCUGGUGCCGUUUUUAUUUUGCUUUCUUUACUUUGCAUCUUUAUCAUAAAAAUACCAAAAAUAUUAUCUUAUCAUAUCUAUCAGAUCUCACUCUCGUAAGUGACCGUGAAGGGAUUGACAACCCCUUUAUUGCAUUGGUUGCGAGGAUUUAUUUGUUUGUGUAGGUACGAGGGACUCGUGCGUGGCCUCCUACUGGAUUGAUACCUUGGUUCUCAAAAACUGAGGGAAAUACUUACGCUACUUUACUGCAUCACCCUUUCCUCAUCAAGGGAAAACCAACGCAGUGCUCAAGAGGUAGCAAGAACGAUUUCUGGCGCCGUUGCCGGGGAGUCUACGCAAAAGUCAACAUACCAAGUACCCAUCAGAAACCCUUAUCUCCCGCAUUACAUCAUUUGCCAUUUGCCUCUUCACCCUUGCUGUUUUAUUCGCCCUCUCUUUUCCGUUAGCCUCUUUUUUCGCUUGCUUCCUGUUUGCUCGUGUGUUGGAUUGCUUGCUUGUCAUGAUGGCUCAAGAUAAUACCAAAUUGUGUGACUUUACCAAUACCAACAACAAUGAUUUCCUUAGCACUCCAAUUGCUCCUCUUACCGAUACAGAAUCUUGUGAAAUCAAUACUGCUUUACUGAAUCUUGUCAUGAAAGAUCAAUUCGCCGGCCUUCCUAGUGAAGAUGCCGCUACCCAUCUAAAUAGCUUCGUUGAUUUGUGUGAUAUGCAAAAGAAGAAAGAUGUGGAUAUUGAUAUUGCUAAAUUGAAGCUAUUUCCUUUUUCGCUUAGAGAUCGUGCUAAAGUUUGGUUUUCAUCUUUGCCUAAAAAUAGUAUUGAUUCUUGGAAUAAGUGCAAAGAUGCUUUUAUCUCUAAGUAUUUUCCUCCCGCUAAGAUCAUCUCUCUUAGAAACGAUAUUAUGAAUUUUAAGCAACUUGAUCAUGAACAUGUUGCACAAGCUUGAGAGAGGAUGAAAUUAAUGAUACGUAAUUGCCCUACACAUGGUUUGAAUUUGUGGAUGAUUAUACAAAAUUUUUAUGCCGGAUUGAAUUUUGCUUCUAGAAAUCUUUUAGAUUCGGUCGCGGGAGGCACUUUUAUGGAAAUCACUUUAGGAGAAGCUACUAAACUCCUAGAUAAUAUUAUGGUAAAUUAUUCUCAAUGGCAUACUGAAAGAUCUACUAAUAAAAAGGUGCAUGCGAUAGAACAAAUUAAUGUUUUGAAUGGAAAGAUGGAUGAACUUAUGAAAUUAUUUGCUACUAAAAGUGUUUCUUCUGAUCCUAAUGAUAUGCCUUUGUCUACUUUGAUUGAGAAUAAUAAUGAAUCUAUGGAUGUGAAUUUUGUUGGUAGGAAUAAUUUUGGUAACAACGCGUAUAGAGGAAACUUUAAUCCUAGGCCGUACCCUAGUAAUUCCUCUAAUAAUUAUGGUAAUUCCUACAACAAUUCCUAUGGAAAUUUUAAGAAGAUGCCUUCUGAAUUUGAUACUAUUGUUAAAGAAUUUAUAAAUUCGCAAAAGAAUUUCAAUGCUUUGCUUGAGGAAAAAUUGCCUAAGAUUGAUGAAUUGGCUAGGAACAUUGAUAGAAUUUCUCUUGAUGUUGAUUCCUUGAAACUUAGAUCUAUUCCACCUAAGCAUGAUAUUAAUGAGUCUCCCAAAGCCAUGAGAAUUUCCAUUGAUGAGUGCAAAGAAAGAACCGCUAGGAUGCGUGCUAAAAAAGAUUGCUUUGUGAAAGUGUGUUCUUCUAAUUUCUAUGAAAAUAAAGAUGAAGAUCUAAAAGUUAUUGAUGUGUCCCCCAUUAAAUCUUUGUUUUGCAAUAUGAAUCUUGAUAAUGAUGGGACUGAAUAUGAUCCACCUUUACCUAGAAGGCGUUCCAAAAAUUCGAAGUUUUUAGAUCUUGAUGCUAAAAUUGGUAAAAGUGGAUUGAAGAGAUCAAAACUCUAGAUAUUAAUGAACCCACUAUUUUGGAUUUCAAGGAAUUUAAUUAUGAUAAUUGCUCUUUGAUAUAUUGUAUUUCCUUGUUGCAAUCCGUGCUAAAUUCUCCUCAUGCUUAUAGCCAAAAUAAAGCUUUUACCAAACAUAUCGUUGAUGCUUUGAUGCAAUCUUAUGAAGAAAAACUUGAGUUGGAAGUUUCUAUCCCUAGAAAACUUUAUGAUGAGUGGGAACCUACUAUUAAAAUUAAAAUUAAAGAUCAUGAAUGCUAUGCUUUGUGUGAUUUGGGUGCUAGUGUUUCCACGAUUCCAAAAACUUUGUGUGAUUUGCUAGGUUUCCGUGAUUUUGAUGAUUGCUCUUUAAACUUGCACCUUGCCGGGUACGGCCCGAGGUCUCCUGGCCGGGUACGGCCCGAAGUCGGUUUGACUUUUUUCUUAAAUAAUUCCGAUGUGCAGAAAAAGAAAGAAAAGAAAUAGUAAACGGACUCCAAAAAUCCCGAAAUAAAUUUUCUCCGUCCUCUAAAAAUAGGCCGGACAAGGUGAACAUUUAUUUGGGCCUAAAAUGCAAUUUUGAAAAACGCAUAUUUUUCCUAAUUCAAAUAAAAUAGCGACAAAACUCCGAAUAAAAAUCUUAUUUGAUUUUAAUAUUAAAUCUCUGAUAUUUCUUUAUUUUGAGGAAGUCUUUUUAUCCUCUCUCUUUUAUUUUUAAUAAAAGAAAUAUUUCAGAGAAAAAUAAUUAAAAUCAAAGAUCCUCUUUUCAAAAUUCGAGAAAACUCGAAUAUGAAAAUAACGAAAUCCCCAACUCUCUCCGUGGGUCCUUGAGUUGCGUAGAAUUUCUAGGAUGAACCAAAAUGCAAUAAAAUAUGAUAUGCAAUGAUGGUCUAAUGUAUAACAUUCCAAAUUGAAAAUUUGGGAUGUUACAAACCUACCCCCUUAAGAUGAAUCUCGCCCUCGAGAUUCGGGUUGGCUAGAAAAUAGGUGAGAGUGAUCCUUCCGUAGGUCUUCCUCUCGUUCCCAGGUGGCUUCAUCUUCGGUAUGGUGACUCCAUUGAACCUUGCAAAACUUGAUAACCUUGUUGCGCGUAACUCGGCUGGCAAACUCGAGUAUCUUGACUGGUUUCUCCUCAUAUGUCAAAUCGCUAUCCAACUGUAUCGCUUCUAGCGGCACUGUAUCUCUCAGAGGAAUAUCAGCCAUCUCUGCGUGGCACUUCUUCAACUGAGAAAUGUGGAACACAUCGUGAACUCCGGACAAUCCUUCGGGUAAUUCCAACUUGUAGGCAACUUCUCCCAUAUAUUCCAAAACUCUGUAUGGUCCCACAAAACAUGGCGCUAACUUUCCCUUAACUCCAAAGCGCUUCACUCCUCGAAGUGGGGAUACACGAAGAUACACUCUGUCUCCUACUUCAUAAACUGUCUCCUUGCGUUUAGAAUCCGCAUAACUCUUCUGCCUGGACUGGGCUACCUUGAGUCUAUCGCGAAUCAGCUUAACCUUCUCUUCAGACUCUUUAAUCAAAUCUGGUCCAAACAACUGUCGGUCUCCAACUUCGUCCCACAACAACGGUGUUCUGCACCUUCUUCCGUACAGUGCUUCGAAAUGGCCAUCUUCAAACUGGCUUGAUAGCUGUUGUUGUAAGAGAACUCUGCGUACGGCAAAUUAUCGUCCCAACUAGAUCCAUAGUCUAGCGCACAAGCUCUCAACAUGUCCUCCAGAAUCUGAUUGACUCUUUCAGUCUGUCCAUCCGUCUGCGGGUGAAAAGCUGUACUGAACUCUAGCCUGGUUCCCAAAGUUUCAUGCAACUGAUUCCAAAACUUUGAGGUAAACUGGGUUCCUUUAUCUGAUACAAUGGUCCUCGAAACUCCAUGCAGACAUACGAUCCUGGUCAUGUAUAUCUUUGCCAACUUAGCACUGGUGUAAGUGGUCUUCACUGGGAUGAAAUGGGCUACCUUCGUCAAACGAUCGACUACAACCCAUAUCGAGUCAUAGCCCGAACGAGUCCUGGGUAAUCCUGUGAUAAAGUCCAUGCCUAGUUUAUCCCACUUCCAUUCGGGUAUCGGCAAUGGUUGUAGCAAUCCGGCUGGCUUUUGACGCUCUGCCUUCACUCUCUGACAUACAUCACGAACUGCUACAUACUCUGCAAUAUCCUUCUUCAUUCCGGUCCACCAGAACCUAUCCUUCAAAUCCAGAUACAUCUUGGUAUUUCCUGGGUGAAUCGAAUAUGGCGAAUCAUGGGCCUCUUGCAGAAUCAACUUCCUGAUCUCCUGAUCAUUUGGCACAUAUACGCGGUCCUCAAACCAUAAGGUAUCGUGCUCAUCCUCACGAAAUCCUUUAGCCUUUCCUUUACUCAUCCUUUCCUUUAUCUCGACAAUCUCCUUGUCUGUCUUCUGAGCUUCUCUGAUCUUAUCCAUCAAGGUAGACUGAAUCUCCAAAGCUGCUACAUAACCUCUUGGAACUAUCUCCAAACAUAGCUCGCGAAGGUCUUCUGCUAACUCCUUGGGUAACUCUCCGGUCAUGAGUGUGUUGACAUGACUUUUUCGGCUUAACGCAUCGGCUACUACGUUAGCCUUUCCGGGAUGAUAAUGUAACCUCAUAUCAUAAUCCUUUAUUAGCUCUAACCAUCUCCUCUUCCUGAGAUUCAACUCCUUCUGCGUGAAGAUAUACUUCAAACUCUUGUGAUCCGUGUAUACCUCACAAUGGUUUCCGAUGAGAAAAUGUCUCCAUGUCUUCAACGCAUGUACUACGGCUGCUAACUCCAAAUCAUGCGUAGCAUAAUUUAACUCAUGGGGUUUAAGCUGUCGUCAGGCAUAUGAAACAACUCUUCCUUCCUGCAUAAGUACGGCUCCAAGUCCUCGACGAGAAGCGUCGCAAUACACUUCAUAAUUUUUGCGUUGAUCUGGCAGAAUCAACACUGGUGAUGUAACCAAGCGUCUCUUCAACUCCUGAAAACUGGCCUCACAUUCCUCAGUCCAAUUGAAUUUGGUGUCCUUCUUCAACAACUCCGUCAUAGGUUUUGCAAUCUUUGAGAAAUUCUCAAUGAACCUCCGGUAAUAAAUUGCGAGUCCAAGAAAACUCCGAAUUUCUCCAACAGACGUGGGUGACUCCCAAUUUGUCACAGUGACAACUUUGGUGGGGUCUACUGCUAUUCCUUCUCCGGAUAUAACAUGUCCAAGGAAUCCAACUUCCUUCAACCAAAACUCACACUUGCUGAACUUGGCGUAUAACUGAUGUUCUCUGAGCUUACCAAGUACCAAACGCAAAUGCUCUUUAUGUUCUUCUUCAUUCUUCGAGUAGACCAGAAUGUCAUCAAUGAACUCCACAACGAACUUAUCCAAAAACUCCAUAAACACUUUGUUCAUCAUGUUCAUAAAAUAGGCAGGUGCAUUAGUCAGACCAAAUGACAUAACGGUAUACUCAUACAGCCCGUACCUCGUUGUAAAAGUUGUCUUAGGUAUGUCCUGCUCUCGAAUCUUCAAUUGGUGAUACCCUGAUCACAAAUCAAUCUUGGAAAACACCUUUGCUCCUUGCAGCUGGUCAAACAAAUCACUGAUCAUCGGCUGUGGGUACUUGUUCUUGAUCGCCACUGCAUUCAAUCCAUGAUAAUCAACAACCAUCCUUAACGAUCCAUCCUUCUUUUCCACUAGAAGUACUGGGGAUCCCCAAGGUGACGAACUUGGGCGGAUAUAACCUUUAUCCAGUAACUCCUUAAUAUGCUUCUUAAUUUCCUCCAAAUCCUUUGCGGGCAUUCUGUACGGUCUCUUAGAUAUUGGCCCUGUGCCUGGCAAAAGCUCAAUCAAAAACUCAAUGUCUCUAUCCGGUGGCAUGCCUGGCAACUCUUCUGGAAAUACAUCCAGAAAAUCCUUCACCACUGGUACUUCCUCCUGUACAACUCCUGAUAAGGAAUUUACUUGAGUCCUAUUCGGCACAUGCCGAGAUACAUACUUGAUCCUUCUUCCUUCUGGGGUGGUAAGCAAAAUUGACUUACUGGCGCAAUCAAUGUUCCCUCCAUACUUCGAUAACCAAUCCAUGCCUAAUAUGACAUCCAGUCCUUGUGACUCUAAUACUAUUAGGUCCGAGGGAAACAAGUAGUUACCAAUCCUUAAUGGUAACUGAUCACACCAUAGGCUAGCCAUAUACUCUGCUCCUGGCGAGGUUAGUAACAUGGGUGACCUAAGGGCUUGGGUGGCAGCUUAAACUUAUCCACAAAUCCCCUUGAUAUGUAUGAAUGCGAUGCACCAGUAUCAAAAAGUACGACUGCAGUAAAUGACUUAACCAAAAACUUACCUAUUACUACAUGUAGCUGGGCUUCAACCUCCUCCACGUUAACGUGAUUCACUUGUCCCCUGUUGAAAGGGUUGGGCUUCUUCCCAGAGCUUCCAUUGCCAUUUCCAUUCUUGGCUUCAGGACACUCAUUGGCGUAAUGUCCUGUCUUCUGGCAUUUGUAGCAAGUCAUGUGGCUUAGAUCCUUCUUGGAGGGUGUUGCCGGGUUGGAACAGUUCUGUCCGCUACUUCCUCCAUUACCAUUACCAUUCUUGGGGCCACUAUGAUUGUGCGAACUUCCUCCAUUAUGAGUGUGGCCUCCAUGGUUAUGAACAAGUCCUCCCGAGUUCGGGGUGUAACGGGGUCUCUGCUGGGCUCCAGAAUUCCCUUUCCAUACUUCCUUUUGUGGCUGUCAAUCUGCUGCUGCUUCCCUUCAAGCAUGAGAGCUCUAUCCACCAACUCCUGAUAAUUAUUGAAAUUUGCCACCAUCAACUGCAUGCUCAGCUCAUCAUUCAGUCCUUCCAAAAAUUUCUCCUUUUUAGCUGCAUCUGUAGCGACGUCAUCUGGGGCAUAACGUGCUAACUUACUAAACUCAUCCACAUACUGGCCAACAGUGCGUCGUCCUUGGCGUAAGUUGAGAAACUCACACUUCUUCAUGGCCAUAGCUCCUGCUGAACCAUGGGCAGUGCGAAAAGCCUGCUGGAACUGGUCCCAUGUCACAGUGUCAAUAGGGUAAGUGACUAUGAAAUUCUCCCACCAAGAUGAUGCGGGUCCAUCAAGCUGAUGUGCGGCAAAACGCACUCUCUCCGCAUCUGUGCAUCCUGCAGUGGUCAACUCCCUUUCAAUCUUGCGAAGCCAAUCAUCUACAACAAUAGGCUCGGUGCUACUGGAGAACACCGGCGGAUUCAGCCUAAGAAAAUGGGCUAAGUGGUCAACUAGUGGGGGUGGUGGUGGGUUGUUGUUGUUGUUGUUCCCCUGGUUCUGAUUCAGGACUAGUAUAUGCAUCAAUGCAUUCUGCUGCUGGAUCAACUGAGUGAGCUCCGGUGGGAAAGCAAAUCCAUUGUCGCGUCUCGGAGGCAUCUGCUGGGUUUAGAAAAGAUGAGAAAACAGAGUAGAAUGAGGUCUAGAGGGGAAACACUACCCAUAUGCACAUGAGACAAACACAAACAUAUCACUCAAUCAAUCAACAAAGGCAUACAAUCGGUCUAGAACUAUCGUUACAAAAGUGCUCGGACUAUACUAUAUACAUGGUGGAAUACUACUACUGAUUUGGUGGUCUACUAGAAAAAUUGCUCGGUCGAAGACUCCAUGAUAUUUGCUCCAGCUUCAUCAACAUAGUCAUCAUCGCUAUCGUCAGGGUCCGAGUCGGUGUCGUCGAUGAUGAUGUAGUUCUCCGGGCAAGUGGAACUGUCAUCUUCUCCUCCUGGCGCAGGGUCUCCCAUGAAAACUCCUAGCUUCCUGGUCAGGUCGUCAUUCUUCUCCACUAGUAUGACGAUUUCCUCCAUAUAAUCUUCGCGUGUAGCCUUGAGAUCUACCUCCAGUUCCGUGAUCCUUGUCAUUGCUUUCUUCAAAUCUGUCAUGCCUGCGCACAUCUGGUUCUCCUGGCGACGAAUGUGCUGGUUCAAUUCCUGGAUGAAAGAGGCAAUCGAUCUAUUCUUUCUGGUGCUGAUCAUCUCCCAUUGCUCAUCUCGGCGCCCACAAAUCUGAUAAAUAAUAUCCUUGAGAUCAUUGUGGUAAACUUCUCCAAUGCGUCCCAUGGUGAUGUGAGCUGCCAUACUCUUUCCUAGACUCCAGGUUGGGGCAUCGAAGGAAAACUCUAUGGGCUCAGUGACUGGCGUGAAUGUCCUUCCUGGAACUUGAACUUGAAUCAUCCAGCGCUCCUCUUCUGGUAAAGUGGCGUUGUAAGUCCCGAUGAAGCUUGGUAUUCCAAUGUGCAGGUACCUAGUGACUUCCUUCAAGUGGCGUCCAAAUGGGGUGUCUUCAUCCGGUUGCAUGAACUAGAUCCUUGCAUCCGCCAUCCUAAAGAGUAGAAAAUGGAGAGGAGUUAGAAAUGAGAAGAGAGUAGUGAUCUAGGGCUUUAGCUUAGUGGUCAUGUCCUACAGUCAGCGUGUGCUCUGAUACCAUCUUUGUAGCAACCAGACCUCAAACAGUCUGAUCUCUGUGCAUAAGUGUCAUCCCUGGAUCGGUAAUGCUGACACACAGUACUUGAAGGAUUUAUAACAGAUUAGCAAUCACACUUAUUACAUCGAAUGUCUCAAAAGAGAACCUAUUGCAAUAAAUAUGGCUUAAGGCCAUCUAAAACGAUAACAACGGAAGGCUUGGAAGAUAAAGUGAGUCCAUCAACUCCAACGGCAUCACUGAGUGAAAGACCUAAGGCUCCUUACUCGUCGUCUGAAAAGUCUGCAACAUGAUACGUUGCAGCCCGAAAACGUGUCAGCACAUGGAAUAUGCUAGCAAUGUAACACAAGAGGGUAAUGAACAGAAUAAUGCUAUCACUACAUGCAUAUAUGGCUGGUGGAGGCUGUAGGGUUAAUAUGUUUUGCGAAAAGCCAAUUUUUCCCUACUGCAAAGGAAUAUAUUUUAUUUAACUACAAAGUUUGUUGAAAACAUUGAGAAGGUAAACCCCCUCUCAAUCCCAAUUAAUAGUAAUCAUUAACAACCCAUCAAAUUAAUUAAGUAGUGUUGAGAUCAACAUGAUAAUCCAAGAACCAGAUACUCAAGUUGUCCAUAACCGGGGACACGGCUAACCAUGAUUAGUUUGUACACUCUGCAGAGGUUUGCGCACCUUUCCCCACAAGACUCGAUCUCCUCCAUUGAAUUUCUCGCACUACAUGGUGUUUGAGAAACGGAUGACCGAGACACAGUCUUUCAGAAGCGUUAGCACCUUACGAUGGGUAGAUCGUACCACCUACAUCCCCUACAUCUGCUAGUCUACCACUGUAAGAGUUCACACGACUUAAUCAACUAUGCUAGAGCCCAUAAUAGCUUGUGGCUGCACACGGAAGUUUCUAGUAUGAAUAAUCUCAUGAUCCCUUUGAGCCUGGGUGGCAGUCCAUAGGAGAAUCACACGGUACCCUGGGAUUUCCAAAAAAUACAGGCAAUCACUGAAUACCCCAGGUGCCUCAAUCCACCCAGAUGUGUAUUUAAGUUGCCACCUUAAGUUUAACCAUUAAUUAACAAUCUCACAUCUGUCAUGAGUACACUCAAACCCAAUCCAUGUGUACGAGCAUAGCAUAGCAAUAUAAACAUAACGUAGAAGUAACUCCCAGGGUUUGAUAAUAAACAGGUGAAUAGGUACUACCUCAGCUACUUCCCAACCCACAAUUUAAUUCAGAUCCUAACCAUGCAAUUGUUUGGGGAUUGAUCUAAUGCAGUAAAACUGGGUAGUAAAGAGGUAUGAUCAAAGUGUUACUUGCCUUGCUGAUGAUCCGCGAAACCUAGAGACUCAUAGUAGCACGCUUCGCACUACGGGUACUCUAUCGCAAACAAAUAAGCAAACAAUAAGCAAUCAAGCAAGGGCACGGGUAAAACUCAAAUAAGAGAUCUAACCAGAAAGUUUAACUUAAGAACUCCGGUUUGCAAAAAGAAUCAAAUCAAAUGAAGCAACAAAACUCAAACGGCGAAAGAAACAAGCUUCGUUUACUAAUCUGGACUAAAGUCAAAUUUUACAGUAGCAAAAACUUGUUUAAGUUGGCUAAACAGAAAGAGGAAUUCGAGACGAAACUCUAGGCGCUUGAAUCGCCUGAUUCCGAUAAAUGAGCGAAACGUUAUACUAGAACGAAAAUCGGAUCAGAAAUCGCGAUCGAAAAUAAUCACGGUAAAUCCGAGAAAAAGAAAAACCGACGAACAGGCUAACGAACGAACGUUCGCUGUCUGCGGUUAAACGGUGAAAACCGUUCGUUAAAACAAACAUACGGAUGAACGUUCGCUAAAUAACUAAACCGAGAAAAAUAAACCGAACCGAUCUAAAUAAAAACGAAACUAGGGUUUACUAAAUAAAACCGAUCGGUUUAAAAAAAACCGGCGGCUACCUCGAACUCCGGCGGGCGGCGGGGCGGCGGCGGUGGNNNNNNNNNNNNNNNNNNNNNNNNNNNNNNNNNNNNNNNNNNNNNNNNNNNNNNNNNNNNNNNNNNNNNNNNNNNNNNNNNNNNNNNNNNNNNNNNNNNNNNNNNNNNNNNNNNNNNNNNNNNNNNNNNNNNNNNNNNNNNNNNNNNNNNNNNNNNNNNNNNNNNNNNNNNNNNNNNNNNNNNNNNNNNNNNNNNNNNNNNNNNNNNNNNNNNNNNNNNNNNNNNNNNNNNNNNNNNNNNNNNNNNNNNNNNNNNNNNNNNNNNNNNNNNNNNNNNNNNNNNNNNNNNNNNNNNNNNNNNNNNNNNNNNNNNNNNNNNNNNNNNNNNNNNNNNNNNNNCUUAUAAAGGGGCCGGCCCGAAGUCGGUUUGAUUUUUUUUAAUAAUUCUGACGUGCAGAAAAAGAAGGAAAGGAAAUACUAAACGGACUCCAAAAAUCCCGAAAUAAAUUUUCCCGUCCUCUAAAAAUAGGCCGGACAAGGUGAACAUUUAGUUGGGCCUAAAACGCAAUUUUGAAAACGCAUAUUUUUCCUAAUUCAAAUAAAAUAGCGACAAAACUCCGAAUAAAAAUCUUAUUUGAUUUUAAUGUUAAAUCUUUGAUAUUUCUUUAUUUUGAGGAAGUCAUUUUAUCCUCUCUCUUUUAUUUUUAAUAAAAGAAAUAUUUCAGAGAAAAAUAAUUAAAAUCAAAGAUCGUCUUUUCAAAAUUCGAGAAAACUCGAAUAUGAAAAUAACGAAAUCCCCAACUCUCUUAAUGGGUCCUUGAGUUGUGUAGAAUUUCUAGGAUCAACCAAAAUGCAAUAAAAUAUGAUAUGCAAUGAUGGUUUAAUGUAUAACAUUCCAAAUUGAAAAUUUGGGAUGUUACAAUAUCUUUUAGAGCACGACGGUGGUUCUAUUUUAUAGAAACUAUUAUUCUCUCAUGCUUCACUUAUAUUAUUUUGAGAGUCUUAAACAACAUGGUAAUUUGCUUAAAUUGAGAAAUUAAUCCUAAUAUGUUAGGUAUUCAAGACUAGUAAAAAACUUUCUUAUGAGUGUGCUGAAUACUAAGAGAAGUUUGAUGCUUGAUGAUUGUUUUGAGAUAUGGAGGUAGUGAUAUUAAAGUUGUGCUAGUUGAGUAGUGGUGAAUUUGAGAAAUACUUGUGUUGAAGUUUGCAAGUCCCGUAGCAUGCACGUAUGGUAAACGUUAUGUAACAAAUUUGAAACAUGAGGUGUUCUUUGAUUGUCCUCCUUAUGAGUGGCGGUCGGGGACGAGCGAUGGUCUUUUCCUACCAAUCUAUCCCCCUAGGAGCAUGCGCGUAGUGCUUGGUUUUUGGUGACUUGUAGAUUUUUGCAAUAAGUAUGUGAGUUCUUUAUGACUAAUGUUGAGUCCAUGGAUUAUACGCACUCUUACCCUUCCAUCAUUGCUAGCCUCUUCGGUACCGUGCAUUGCCCUUUCUUACAUUGAGAGUUGGUGCAAACUUCGCCGGUGCAUCCAAACCCCGUGAUAUGAUACACUCUUUCACACAUAAACCUCCUUAUAUCCUCCUCAAAACAGCCACCAUACCUACCUAUUAUGGCAUUUCCAUAGCCAUUCCGAGAUAUAUUGCCAUGCAACUUUCCACCGUUCCGUUUAUCAUGACACGUUCAUCAUUGUCAUAUUGCUUUGCAUGAUCAUGUAGUUGACAUCGUAUUUGUGGCAAAGCCACCGUCCAUAAAUUUUUCAUACAUGUCACUCUUUAUUCAUUGCUAACCGGGUAUACCGCCGGAGGCAUUCAUAUAGAGUCAUACUUUGUUCUAGUAUCAAGUUGUAAUCAUUAAGUUGUAAAUAAAUAGAAGUGUGAUGAUCAUCAUUCAUAGAGCAUUGUCCCCCCAAAAAAAAGAAGGCCCAAAAAAAGGGGAGAAUAAAAAGGGACAAUGCUACUAUCCUUUUCCACACUUGUUCUUCAAAGUAGCACCAUGAUCUUCAUGAUACAGAGUCUCUUGUUUUGUCACUUUCAUAUACUAGUGGGAAUUUUUCAUUAUAGAACUUGGCUUAUAUAUUCCAACAAUGGGCUUCCUCAAAUGCCCUAGGUCUUCGUGAGCAAGCAAGUUGGAUGCACACCCACUUAGUUUCUUUUGUUGAGCUUUCAUGCAUUUAUAGCUCUAGUGCAUCGGUUGCAUGGCAAUCCCUACUCCUUGCAUUAACAUCAAUCGAUGGGCAUCUCCAUAGCCUGUUGAUUAGCCGCGUUGAUGUGAGACUUUCUCCUUUUUUGUCUUCUCCACAUAACCCCCAUCAUUAUAUUCUAUUCCACCCAAAGUGCUAUAUCCAUGGCUCACGCUCAUGUAUUGCGUGAAGGUUGAAAAAGUUUGAGAUUACUAAAGUAUGAAACAAUUGCUUGGCUUGUCAUCGGGGUUGUGCAUGAUAAGAGCAUUCUUGUGUGACGAAAAUGGAGCAUGACUAAACUAUAUGAUUUUGUAGGGAUGAACUUUCUUUGGCCAUGUUAUUUUGAGAAGACAUAAUUGCUUAGUUAGUAUGCUUGAAGUAUUAUUACUUUUAUGUCAAUAUUAAACUUUUAUCUUGAAUCUUUCGGAUCUGAAUAUUCAUGCCGCAAUUAAGAGGGUUACAUUAAAAAUUAUGCCAAGUAGCAUUCCACAUCAAAAAUUCUGUUUUUAUCAUUUACCUACUCGAGGACGAGCAGGAAUUAAGCUUGGGGAUGCUUGAUACAUCUCCAACGUAUCUAUAAUUUUUGAUUGCUUCAUGCUAUAUUAUAUUCUGUUUUGGACAUUAUUGGGAUUUAUUAUACACUUUUAUAUUAUUUUUGGGACUAACCUAUUAACUGGAGGCCCAGCCCAGAAUUGCUGUUUUUUGCCUAUUUCAGAGUUUCGCAGAAAAAGAAUAUCAAACGGAGUCCAAACGGAAUGAAACCUUCGGGAACGUGAUUUUCGGAACGAACGUGAUCCAGAGGACUUGGAACCUACGUCAAGACAUAAAGCAUGAAGGCACGAGGUAGGGGGCGUGCCUACCCCCCUUGGGCGCGCUCUCCACCCUCGUGGGCCCCACGUUACUCCACCGACGUACUUCUUCCUCCUAUAUAUACCUACGUACCCCCAAACUACCAGAUACGGAGCCAAAAACCUAAUUCCACCCGGCAACCUUCCGUACCUGUGAGAUCCCAUCUUGGGGCCUUUUCCGAAGCUCCGCCGGAGGCGCAUCGAUCACGGAGGGCUUCUACACCAACACCAUAGCCUCUCCGAUGAUGUGUGAGUAGUUUACCUCAGACCUUCGGGUCCAUAGUUAUUAGCUAGAUGGCUUCUUCUCUCUUUUUCGAUCUCAAUAAAAUGUUCUCCCCCUCUCUUAUGGAGAUCUAUUCGAUGUAAUCUUCUUUUGCGGUGUGUUUGUUGAGACCGAUGAAUUAUGGGUUUAUGAUCGAGUUUAUCUAUGAACAAUAUUUGAAUCUUCUCUGAAUUCUUUUAUGUGUGAUUGGUUAUAUUUGCAAGUCUCUUCGAAUUAUCAGUUUGCAAGUCUCUUCGAAUUAUUUGCAAGUCUCUUCAAAUUAUCAGUUUGGUUUGGCCUACUAGAUUGAUCUUUCUUGCAAUGGGAGAAGUGCUUAGCUUUGGGUUCAGUCUUGCGGUGUCCUUUCCCAGUGACAGUAGGGGCAGCAAGGCACGUAUUGUAUUGUUGCCAUCGAGGAUAACAAGAUGUGGUUUAUAUCAUAUUGCAUGAAUUUAUCCCUCUACAUCAUGUCAUCUUACUUAAAGCGUUACUCUAUUCUUUUGAAUUUAAUACUCUAGAUGCAUGCUGGAUAGCGGUCGAUGUGUGGAGUAAUAGUAGUAGAUGCAGGCAGGAGUCGGUCUACUUGUCGCGAACGUGAUGCCUAUAUACAUGAUCAUACCUAGAUAUUCUCAUAACUAUGCUCAAUUCUGUCAAUUGCUCCACAGUAAUUUGUUUACCCACCAUAAUACUUAUGCUCUCAAGAGAAGCCACUAGUGAAACCUAUGGCCCCCGGGUCUAUUUUCCAUCAUAUUUAAUCUCCCGACAACAAGCUAUUUUUGGCGCCAUUUUUAUUUUGCUUUCUUUACUUUGCAUCUUUAUCAUAAAAAUACCAAAAAUAUUAUCUUAUCAUAUCUAUCAGAUCUCACUCUCGUAAGUGACUGUGAAGGGAUUGACAACCCCUUUAUUGCGUUGGUUGUGAGUAUUUAUUUGUUUGUGUAGGUACGAGGGACUCGUGCGUGGCCUCCUACUGGAUUGAUACCUUGGUUCUAAAAAACUGAGGGAAAUACUUACGCUACUUUACUGCAUCACCCUUUCCUCUUCAAGGGAAAACCAACGCAGUGCUCAAGAGGUAGCAUUGGGCCUCCAAGUGCAGAGGUUUGUAGGACAGUAGCAAUUAUCCCUCAAGUGGAUGACCUCAGGUUUAUCAAUCCGUGGGAGGCGUAGGAUGAAGAUGGUCUCUCUCAAACAACCCUGCAACCAAAUAACAAAGAGUUUCUUGUGUCCCCAACACACCCAAUACAAUGGUAAAUUGUAUAGGUGCACUAGUUCGGCGAAGAGAUGGUGAUACAAGUGCAAUAUGGAUGGUAGAUAUAGGUUUUUGUAAUCUGAAAAUAUAAAAACAGCAAGGUAACUAAUGAUAAAAAUGAGCACAAACGGUAUUGCAAUGCUAGGAACAAGGCCUAGGGUUCAUACUUUCACUAGUGCAAGUUCUCUCAACAAUAAUAAAAUAAUUGGAUCACAUAACUAUCCCUCAACAUGCAACAAAGAGUCACUCCAAAGUCACUAAUAGCGGAGAACAAACGAAGAGAUUAUUGUAGGGUACGAAACCACCUCAAAGUUAUCCUUUCUGAUCAAUCUAUUCAAGAGUCCGUAGUGAAAUAACAUGAAGCUAUUCUUUCCGUUUGAUCUAUCAUAGAGUUCGUACUAGAAUAACACCUUAAGACACAAAUCAACCAAAACCCUAAUCUCACCUAGAUACUCCAAUGUCACCUCAAGUAUCCGUGGGUAUGAUUAUACGAUAUGCAUCACACAAUCUCAGUUUCAUCUAUUCAACCAACACAAAGAACUUCAAAGAGUGCCCCAAAGUUUCUACCGGAGAGUCAAGACGAAAACGUGUUCCAACCCCUAUGCAUAGGUUCAUGGGCGGAACCCGCAAGUUGAUCACCAAAACAUACAUCAAGUGGAUCACGUGAUAUCCCAUUGUCGCCACAGAUACGCACGGCAAGACAUACAUCAAGUGUUCUCAAAUCCUUAAAGACUCAAAUCGAUAAGAUAACUUCAAAGGGAAAACUCAAUCCAUUACAAGAGACGAGAGGGGGACAAACAUCAUAAGAUCCAACUACAAUGCAAAGCUUGCGAUACAUCAAGAUCGUAUCACCUCAAGAACACGAGAGAGAGAGAGAUCAAACACAUAGCUACUGGUACAUACCCUCAGCCCCGAGGGUGAACUACUCCCUCCUCAUCAUGGAGAGCGUCGGGAUGAUGAAGAUGGCCACCGGUGAGGGUUCCCCCCUCCGGCAGGGUGCCGGAACAGGGUCCCGAUUGGUUUUUGGUGGGUACAGAGGCUUGCGGCGGCGGAACUCCCGAUCUAUUCUGUUCCCUGAUGGUUUUAGGGUAUAUGGAUAUAUAUAGGCGAAAGAAGUCGGUCAGGGGAGCCACGAGGGGCCCAGGAGGGUGGAGGGCGCGCCCCCUGCCUCGUGCCUUCCUCGUUGCUUCCCUUACGUACACUCCAAGUCUUUUGGAUUGCUUCCGUUCCAAAAAUAACUCUCCCAAAGGUUUCAUUCCGUUUGGACUCCGUUUGAUAUUCCUUUUCUGCGAAACACUGAAACAAGGGAAAAACAUAAACUGGCAUUGGGCUCUGGGUUAAUAAGUUAGUCCCAAAAAUAAUAUAAAAGUGCAUAGUAAAGCCCAUUAAACAUCCAAGAUGGAUAAUAUAAUAGCAUGAAUACUUCAUAAAUUAUAGAUACGUUGGAGACGUAUCAGCAUCCCCAAGCUUAAUUCCUGCUCGUCCUCGAGUAGGUAAAUGAUAAAAGAAAGAAUUUAUGAAGUGUGAAUGCUAGCAGGUGCAUAAGUUUGAUCAAUGAUAAUUUCAAUCACCUUUUCUAGCAUCAUUAUAUGUCAUAACAGUAGCUCAACUCAUGGAACUUGCAUGAUAAAGUAACAAACUAUUCACAUGUUAAAGUAUAGAUCAUAAACUUUCUUGAAAACUACCGUGUUAUUAGUCAUCAAACAAUUACAAUUCAUCUUAUUUUCAGGAAGAGUCUAUGUCAGAGCUUUGAUUCCGCAAACUUCACAUACUCAACUAUCAUUUAGUCUUCCAUGAUUGCAACCACUCAAAGCAUAUUUUUAGAACAAAUAGUAUUCAUCAAACACAGAGAAAGAUAGGGGCUUGAUGUUUCGCCUCCCAACCUUUUACCUCAAGGGUAAUGUCAACAAUAAUAAUUCAUGCUCAAAUAUAUUUGAAUGGCCAUAUAUGCUUAGAUCUUUCCAUCACAUGAUGCUUGCCAACUAAAGAGAAGGUUGGAAUGAGAAGGAAUACUACUGACUCUUGCAUAAAAGUAAAAGAUAGGCCCUUCGCAUAGGGAAGUAGGGAUUUGCAGAGGUGCCAGAGCUCGAAGCAAAAACAUAGAUGAAAAUAAUUUUGAGAGGUAUGCUUUCAUUGUCAACAUAAUGACAAAGAGUUCCCAAUAUCUUCCAUACUACAUAAAUUAUAGGCGGUUCCCACGCAGAAAGGUAAAGUUUUUACUCCCCCUCCACCAACAUUCACACUCCACGGCUUGUCCGAAACAACGGGUGCCGUCCAACUAUCAACAUUCCUGGGGGAGUUUGGUUUAAAUUAUUUGCGAAUUUGUUUUUGAUCUUUUGAUCAUAGGACUGGGCAUCCCGGUUACCAGCCAUUUUGUCGUGAAUGAUGAGCGGAGUCCACUCAUCGUGAGAAUAACCCACCUAGCAUGGAAGAUACUGACAGCCCUUAGUCGCUACAUGAGCGAUUCAGGCAUACAAAACAGAUUAUUAUUUGAAGGUUUAGAGUUUGGCACAUGCAAAUUUACUUGGAAUGGCAGGUAAAUACCGCAUAUAGGUAGAUAUGGUGGACACGCAUGGAAGAAACUUGGUUCAAGGAAUUUGAAUGCACAAGCAGUAUUCCCGCUUAGUACAUAUAUUUUGGCUAGCAGAGGAUUCUAAAUAGCAAGCACCACAUGUUAGAGGAUCCAUAACAAUAUAACUUAUACAAAUAUACCCAAGCAUAACUCAUUAAGUUGUCUUCCUUGUCCAACUUCAACUAAUUUGCUCAGGUUUGAAAAUAAUUAAUGGGGCUCCCAAUCAUAGAAGAUGUCCAAGAUAGUAUAUUUAUAUGUGAAAUCUCUCUUCCUUCAAUAUUCUUUCAUGAAUUGUUCAAGUGACCAAUACAAUGUUUGCUAACCUUCAAUAAAUUUACCAACUCUACUUCUUAUAUGUGAAGGCAUUACUCCCCAUGGGAAAGGCAUAUGAAACAUAUAUAAUUCAGAUUUAUGACAUUCAAAUCAUUCAACCAUUUACUCAUAGGAUAUAAGUGAAACACACGAGUAAAUGACAAACUACUCCAAAAAGAUAUAAGUGAAGAUCAAUGAGUAGUUAAAUAAUUAUGUAGAUAUGUGAAGACUCUCUCUCAUUUAAGAAUUUCAGAUCUUGGUAUUAUUCAAACAGCAAGUAAGGCUAAAGAAAAUAAAAUGACGCUCCAAACAAAACACAUAUCAUGUGGUGAAUAAAAAUAUAGCUCCAAGUAAAGUUACCGAAGAACGAAGACGAAAGAGGGGAUGCCAUCCGGGGCAUCCCCAAGCUUAGGCUCUUGGUUGUCCUUGAAUAUUACCUUGGGGUGCCUUGGGCAUCCUCAAGCUUAGGCUCUUGCCACUCCUUAUUCCAUAGUCCAUCGAAUCUUUACCCAAAACAUGAAAACUUCACAACACAAAACUCAACAGAAAACUCGUAAGCUCCGUUAGUAUAAGAAAAUAAAUCACCACUUUUGGUACUGUUGUGAACUCAUUCUUUAUUUAUAUUGGUGUUAAACCUACUGUAUUCCAACUUAUCUAUGGUUCAUACCCUCCGAUACUACUCAUAGAUUCAUCAAAAUAAGCAAACAACACUUAGAAAACAGAAUCUAUCAAAAACAAAACAGUCUGUAGUAAUCUGUAUCAAACAAAUACUUCUGAACCCAAAAAUUCUAAAAUAAAUUGGUGGACCUGAGGAAUUUGUCUAGUGCUACCUCUUGAGCACUGCGUUGGUUUUCCCUUGAAGAGGAAAGGGUGAUGCAGCAAAGUAGCGUAAGUAUUUCCCUCAGUUUUUGAGAACCAAGGUAUCAAUCCAGUAGGAGGCUACGCACGAGUCCCUCGCACCUACACAAACAAAUAAAUCCUCGCAACCAACGCGAUAAGGGGUUGUCAAUCCCUACAUGGUCACUUACGAGAGUGAGAUCUGAUAGAUAUGAUAAGAUAAUAUUUUUGGUAUUUUUAUGAUAAAGAUGCAAAGUAAAGAAAACAAAAUAAAAAUGGCAAAAGAAAUAGCUAAGUGUUGGAAGAUUAAUAUGAUGGAAAAUAGACCCGGGGGCCAUAAGUUUCACUAGUGGCUUCUCUCGAGAGCAUAAGUAUUUACGGUGGGUGAACAAAUUACUGUUGAACAAUUGACAGAAUUGAGCAUAGUUAUGAGAAUAUCUAGGUAUGAUCAUGUAUAUAGGCAUCACGUCCGAGACAAGUAGACCGACUCCUGCCUGCAUCUACUACUAUUACUCCACACAUCGACCGCUAUCCAUCAUGCAUCUAGAGUAUUAAGUUCAUAAGAACAGAGUAACGCCUUAAGCAAGAUGACAUGAUGUAGAGGGAUAAACUCAUGCAGUAUGAUAAAAAAAACCCAUCUAGUUAUCCUCGAUGGCAACAAUACUAUACGUGCCUGCCGCCCCUACUUUCACUGGGAAAGGACACCGCAAGAUUGAACCCAAAGCUAAGCACUUCUCCCAUUGCAAGAAAGAUCAAUCUAGCAGGCCAAACCAAACUGAUAAUUCGAAGAGACUUGAAAAUAUAAUCAAUCAUACAUAAAAGAAUUCAGAAGAUUCAAAUAUUGUUCAUAGAUAAACUUGAUCAUAAACCCACAAUUCAUCGGUCUCAACAAACACACCGCAAAAGAAGAUUACAUCGAAUAGAUUUCCACAAGAGAGGGGGAGAACAUUGUAUUGAGAUACAAAAAGAGAGAGGAAGCCAUCUAGCUAAUAACUAUGGACCCGAAGGUCUGAGGUAAACUACUCACACAUCAUGGGAGAGGCUAUGGUGUUGAUGUAGAAGCCCUCCGUGAUCGAUGCCCCCUCCGGCGGAGCUCCGAAACAGGCCCCAAGAUGGGAUCUCACGGGUACAGAAGGUUGUGGCGGUGGAAUUAGGUUUUUGGCUCCGUAUCUGGUAGUUUGGGGGUACGUAGGUAUAUAUAGGAGGAAGGAGUACGUCGGUGGAGCAACGUGGGGCCCACGAGGGUGGAGGGCGCGCCCAGGGGGGUAGGUGCACCCCCUACCUCGUGGCUUCCUGGUAGCUUUCUUGACGUAGGGUCCAAGUCCUCUGGAUCACGUUCGUUCCGAAAAUCACGUUCCCGAAGGUUUCAUUCCGUUUGGACUCCGUUUGAUAUUCUUUUUCUGCGAAACUCUGAAAUAGGCAAAAAAACAGCAAUUCUGGGCUGGGCCUCCGGUUAAUAGGUUAGUCCCAAAAAUAAUAUAAAAGUGUAUAAUAAAGCCCAAUAAUGUCCAAAACAGAAGAUAAUAUAACAUGGAGCAAUCAAAAAUUAUAGAUACGUUGGAGACGUAUCAAGCAUCCCCAAGCUUAAUUCCUGCUCGUCCUCGAGUAGGUAAAUGAUAAAAACAGAAUUUUUGAUGUGGAAUGCUACUUGGCAUAAUUUCAAUGUAAUUCUUCUUAAUUGUGGUAUGAAUAUUCAGAUCCGAAAGAUUCAAGAUAAAAGUUUAAUAUUGACAUAAAAAUAAUAAUACUUCAAGCAUACUAACUAAGCAAUUAUGUCCUCUCAAAAUAACAUGGCCAAAGAAAGUUCAUCCCUACAAAAUUAUAUAGUUUAGUCAUGCUCCAUUUUCGUCACACAAGAAUGCUCUCAUCAUGCACAACCCUGAUGACAAGCCAAGCAAUUGUUUCAUACUUUAGUAAUCUCAAACUUUUUCAACCUUCACGCAAUACAUGAGCGUGAGCCAUGGAUAUAGCACUAUGGGUGGAAUAGAAUAUGAUGAUGGGGGUUAUGUGGAGAAGACAAAAAAGGAGAAGGUCUCACAUCAACGAGGCUAAUCAAUGAGCUAUGGAGAUGCCCAUUGAUUGAUGUUAAUGCAAGGGGUAGGGAUUGCCAUGCAACGGAUGCACUAGAGCUAUAAAUAUAUGAAAGCUCAACAAAAGAACCUAAGUGGGUGUGCAUCCAACUUGCUUGCUCAUGAAGACCUAGGGCACUUGAGGAUGCCAUUGUUGGAAUAUAUAAGCCAAGUUCUAUAAUGAAAAAUUCCCACUAGUAUAUGAAAGUGACAAAACAAGAGACUCUCUACCAUGAAGAUUAUGGUGCUACUUUGAAGCACAAGUGUGGUAAAAGGAUAGUAACACUGUCCCUUCUCUCUUUUUCUCUCAUUUUUUUGGGCCUUCUUUUUUUUAUGGCCUUUCUCUUUUUUUUAUUCCUCACUUGGGACAAUGCUCUAGAAAAUGAUGAUCAUCACACUUCUAUUUAUUUACAACUCAAUGAUUACAACUCGAUACUACAACAAAGUAUGACUCUAUAUAAAUGCCUCCGGCGGUGUACCGGGAUAUGCAAUGAACCAAGAGUGACAUGUAUGAAAGGAUUAUGAACGGUGGCCUUGCCACAAAUACUAUGUCAACUACAUGAUCAUGCAAAGCAAUAUGACAAUGAUGAACGUGUCAUGAUAAAUGGAAUGGUGGAAAGUUGCAUGGCAAUAUAUCUCGGAAUGGCUAUGGAAAUGCCAUAAUAGGUAGGUAUGGUGGCUGUUUUGAGGAAGAUAUAAGGAGGUUUAUGUGUGAAAGAGCAUAUCAUAUCACGGGGUUUGGAUGCACCGGCAAAGUUUGCACCAACUCACAAUGUGAGAAAGGGCAAUGCAAGGUACCGAAGAGGCUAGCAAUGGUGGAAAGGUGAGAGUGCGUAUAAUCCAUGGACUCAACAUUAGUCAUAAAGAACUCACAUACUUAUUGCAAAAAUCUACAAGUCAUAAAAAACCAAGCACUACGCGCAUGCUCCUAGGGGGAUAGAUUGGUAGGAAAAGACCAUCGCUCGUCCCCGACCGCCACUCAUAAGGAGGACAAUCAAAGAACACCUCAUGUUUCAAAUUUGUUACAUAACUUUUACCAUACGUGCAUGCUACGGGACUUGCAAACUUCAACACAAGUAUUUAUCAAAUUCACAACUACUCAACUAGCACAACUUUAAUCUCACUAUCUCCAUGUCUCAAAACAAUCAUCAAGCAUCAAACUUCUCUUAGUACUCAACACACUCAUAAGAAAGUUUAUACUAAUCUUGAAUACCUAGCAUAUUAGAAUUAUUUAAGCAAAUUACCAUGCUAUUUAAGACUCUCAAAAUAAUCUAAGUUAAGCAUGAGAGAUCAAUAGUUUCUAUAAAACAAAUCCACCACCGUGCCCUAAAAGAUAUAAGUGAAGCACUAGAGCAAAAACUAUAUAACUCAAAAGAUAUAAGUGAAGCACAUAGAGUAUUCUAAUAAUUUCCGAAUCAUGUGUGUCUCUCUCAAAAGGUGUGUAUAGCAAGGAUGAAUGUGGUAAAAUAAAAAAAAUAAAGACUCAAAUAAUACAAGAUGCUCCAAGCAAAACACAUAUCAUGUGGUGAAUAAAAAUAUAGCUCCAAGUAAAGUUACCGAUGGAAGUAGACGAAAGAGGGGAUGCCUUCCGGGGCAUCCCCAAGCUUUGGCUUUUAGGUGUCCUUAGAUUAUCUUGGGGAUGCCAUGGGCGUCCCCAAGCUUAAGCUCUUGCCACUCCUUGUUCCAUAAUCCAUCAAAUCUUUCACCCAAAACUUGAAAACUUCACAACACAAAACUCAGCAGAAAAUCUCGUGAGCUCCGUUAGCGAAAGAAAACAAAAAACCACUUCAAGGAACUGUAAUGAACUCAUUCUUUAUUUAUAUUGGUGUUAAACCUACUGUAUUCCAACUUCUCUAUGGUUUAUAAACUAUUUUACUAGCCAUAGAUUCAUCAAAAUAAGCAAACAACACACGAAAAACAGAAUUUGUCAAAAACAGAACAGUCUGUAGUAAUCUGUAACUAACGUAAACUUCUGGAACUCCAAAGAUUCAGCCAUAAUAGGACGACCUAGAAAAUUUGUUUAUUGAUCAGAAGCAAUUGGAAUCAAUAUUUUAUCACGUCCUGGUGAUUUUUAAAAAUUAUUUUUGUGAACAGAAAGUUUCUGGAAUUUUCAGCAAGAUUAAAUAACUAUCAUCCAAGAAGAUCCUAUAGGUUUAACUUGGCACAAACACUAAUUAAAACAUAAAAACACAUCUAACCAGAGGCUAGAACAAAUAUUUAUUCCUAAAUAGAAGCAAAAAGCAAAAAACUAAAAAUAAAAUUGGGUUGCCUCCCAACAAGCGCUAUCGUUUAACGCCCCUAUCUAGUUAUAGAAGCAAGGAUAGAUCUAGGUAUUGCCAUCUUUGGUAGGCAAUCCAUAAGUGGAUCUCAUGAUAGAUUCAUAUGGUAAUUUUAUUUUCUUCCUAGGGAAGUGUUCCAUGCCUUUCUUUAAUGGAAAUUGGAAUCUAAUAUUUCCUUCAUUCAUAUCAAUAAUUGCACCAAUCGUUCGAAGGAAAGGUCUACCAAGAAUAAUAGGACAUGAAGAAUUGCAAUCUAUAUCAAGAACAAUAAAAUCUACGGGCACAUAGUUCCCAUUUGCAGCAAUAAUAAUGUCAUUAAUUCUUCCCAUAGGUUUCUUAAUGGUGGAAUCCGCAAGGUGCAAGUUUAAAGAGCAAUCAUCAAAAUCACGGAAACCUAACAAAUCACACAAAGUUUUUGGAAUCGUGGAAACACUAGCACCCAAAUCACACAAAGCAUAGCAUUCAUGAUCUUUAAUUUUAAGUUUAAUAGUAGGUUCCCACUCAUCAUAAAGUUUUCUAGGGAUAGAAACUUCCAUCUCAAGUUUUUCUUCAUAAGAUUGCAUCAAAGCAUCAACGAUAUGUUUAGUAAAGGCUUUAUUUUGGCUAUAAGCAUGAGGAGAAUUUAGCACGGAUUGCAACAAGGAAAUACAAUCUAUCAAAGAGCAGCUAUCAUAAUUAAAUUCCUUGAAAUCGAAAAUAGUGGGUUCAUUAAUAUCUAAUGUUUUGAUCUCUUCAAUCCCACUUUUAUCAAUUUUAGCAUCAAGAUCUAAAAACUCCGAAUUUUUGGAACGCCUUCUAGGUAAAGGUGGAUCAUAUUCAGUCCCAUCAUUAUCAAGAUUCAUAUUGCAAAACAAAGAUUUAAUAGGGGACACAUCAAUAACUUUUAGAUCUUCAUCUUUGUUUUCAUAUAAAUUUGAAGAACACGCUUUUAUAAAGCAAUCUUUCUUAGCACGCAUCCUAGCGGUUCUUUCUUUGCACUCAUCAAUGGAAAUUCUCAUGGCUUUGAGAGACUCAUUGAUAUCAUGCUUAGGUGGAAUAGAUCUAAGUUUCAAGGAAUCAACAUCAAGAGAAAUUCUAUCAACGUUCCUAGCCAAUUCAUCAACUUUAAGAAGUUUUUCUUCAAGCAAAGCAUUGAAAUUCUUUUGUGAAUUCAUAAAUUCCUUAACACUAGUCUCAAAUUCAGAGGGCAUCUUAUUAAAGUUUUCAUAAGAAUUGUUCUAGGAAUUACCAUAAUUAUUAGAGGAAUUACUAGGAUAAGGCCUAGGAUUAAAGUUUCCUCUAUACACGUUGUUACCAAAAUUAUUCCUACCAACAAAAUUCACAUCCAUAGGUUCAUUAUUAUUCUCAAUCAAGGUAGACAAAGGCAUAUCAUUAGGAUCAGAAGAAACACUCUUAGUAGCAAAUAAUUUCAUAAGUUCAUCCAUCUUUCCACUCAAAACAUUAAUUUCUUCUAUCGCAUGCACUUUUUUAUUAGUGCAUCUUUCAGUCUGCCAUUGAGAAUAAUUAACCAUAAUAUUAUCUAGGAGUUUAGUAGCUUCUCCUAAAGUGAUUUCCAUAAAAGUGCCUCCCGCGGCCGAAUCUAAAAGAUUUCUAGAAGCAAAAUUCAAUCCGGCAUAAUUUUUUUGUAUAAUCAUCCACAAAUUCAAACUAUGCGUUGGGCAAUUACGUAUCAUUAAUUUCAUCCUCUCCCAAGCUUGUGCAACAAGUUCAUGAUCAAGUUGCUUAAAAUUCAUAAUAUCAUUUCUAAGAGAGAUAAUCUUAGCGGGAGGAAAAUACUUAGAGAUAAAAGCAUCUUUGCACUUAUUCCAAGAAUCAAUACUAUUUUUAGGCAAAGACGAAAACCAAGCUUUAGCACGAUCUCUAAGCGAAAAAGGAAAUAGCUUCAAUUUAACAAUAUCAUUGUCAACAUCUUUCUUCUUUUGCAUAUCACAAAAAUCAAUGAAGCUAUUUAGAUGAGUAGCGGCAUCUUCACUAGGAAGGCGGCGAAUUGAUCUUUCAUGACAAGAUUCAACAAAGCAGCAUUGAUUUCACAAGAUUAAGUAUCGGUAAGAGGAGCAGUCGGAGUGCUAAGGAAACCAUUGUUGUUGGUAUUGGUAAAGUCACAUAAUUUGGUAUUAUCUUGAGCCAUCGUGACAAACAAGCAAUCCAACACACGAGCAAACAAGAAGCAAGCGAAAAAGAGGCGAACGGAAAAGAGAGGGCGAAUAAAACGGCAAGGGUGAAGUGGGGGAGAGGAAAACAAGAGGCAAAUGGCAAAUAAUGUAAUGUGGGAGAUAAGGGUUUGUGAUGGGUACUUGGUAUGUUGACUUUUGCGUAGACCUCCCCGGCAACGGCGCCAGAAAUGGCUCGUUGUCGGGAGUCCAAAUCUUGACUUGACUUUGCGUAAGCCUCCCCGGCAACGGCGCCAGAAAUCCUUCUUGCUACCUCUUGAGCACUGCGUUGGUUUUCCCUUGAAGAGGAAAGGGUGAUGCAACAAAGUAGCGUAAGUAUUUCCCUCAGUUUUUGAGAACCAAGGUAUCAAUCCAGUAGGAGGCUACACACGAGUCUCUCGCACCUACACAAACAAAUAAAUCCUCGCAACCAACGCGAUAAGGGGUUGUCAAUCCCUACACGGUCACUUACGAGAGUGAGAUCUGAUAGAUAUGAUAAGAUAAUAUUUUUGGUAUUUUUUUGAUAAAGAUGCAAAGUAAAGAAAGUAAAAUAAAAACGGCAACAGAAAUAGCUAGGUGUUGGAAGAUUAAUAUGAUGGAAAAUAGACCCGGGGGCCAUAGGUUUCACUAGAGGCUUCUCUCGAGAGCAUAAGUAUUUACGGUGGGUGAACAAAUUACUGUUGAACAAUUGACAGAAUUGAGCAUAGUUAUGAGAAUAUCUAGGUAUGAUCAUGUAUAUAGGCAUCACGUCCGAGACAAAUAGACCGACUCCUACCUGCAUCUACUACUAUUACUCCACACAUCGACCGCUAUCCAGCAUGCAUCUAGAGUAUUAAGUUCAUAAGAACAGAGUAACGCCUUAAGCAAGAUGACAUGAUGUAGAGGGAUAAACUCAUGCAAUAUGAUAAAAACCCCAUCUUGUUAUCCUCGAUGGCAACAAUACUAUACGUGCCUUGCCGCCCCUACUUUCACUGGGAAAGGACACCGCAAGAUUGAACCCAAAGCUAAGCACUUCUCCCAUUGCAAGAAAGAUCAAUCUAGCAGGCCAAACCAAACUGAUAAUUCGAAGAGACUUGCAAAGAUAACCAAUCAUACAUAAAAGAAUUCAGAAGAUUCAAAUAUUGUUCAUAGAUAAACUUGAUCAUAAACCCACAAUUCAUCGGUCUCAACAAACACACCGCAAAAGAAGAUUACAUCGAAUAGAUCUCCACAAGAGAGGGGGAGAACAUUGUAUUGAGAUCCAAAAAGAGAGAGGAAGCCAUCUAGCUAAUAACUAUGGACCCGAAGGUCUGAGGUAAACUACUCACACUUCAUCGAAGAGGCUAUGGUGUUGAUGUAGAAGCCCUCCAUGAUCGAUGCCCCCUCCGGCGGAGCUCCGGAACAGGCCAAGAUGGGAUCUCACGGGUACAGAAGGUUGCGGUGGUGGAAUUAGGUUUUUGGCUCCGUAUCUGGUAGUUUGGGGGUACGUAGGUAUAUAUAGGAGGAAGGAGUACGUCGGUGGAGCAACGUGGGGCCCAUGAGGGUGGAGGGCGCGCCUAGGGGGGUAGGCGCGCCCCCUACCUCGUGGCUUCCUGGUAGCUUUCUUGACGUAGGGUCCAAGUCCUCUGGAUCACGUUCAUUCCGAAAAUCACGUUCCCAAAGGUUUCAUUCCGUUUGGACUCCGUUUGAUAUUCUUUUUGUGCGAAACUCUGAAAUAGGCAAAAAAACAGCAAUUCUGGGCUGGGCCUCCGGUUAAUAGGUUAGUCCCAAAAAUAAUAUAAAAGUGUAUAAUAAAGGCCAAUAAUGUCCAAAACAGAAGAUAAUAUAGCAUGGGGCAAUAAAAAAUUAUAGAUACGUUGGAGACGUAUCAUGCUGCUGCUGGAGUUGCCUUCCCCAACCUCUCCCUCCACCUUGCUGGAUAAAGGCGCGGGAGAUGUCACCGGGCUGCACGUGUGUUGAACGCGGAGGCGCCGUUGUUCGGCGCUUAGAUCGGAAUCGACCGCGAUCUGAAUCGCUGCGUGUACGACUCCUCCAACCGCGUUCUUGCAAUGCUUCUGCAUCGCGAUCUUCAAGGGUAUGAAGAUGCACUCCCCUCUCUCUCGUUGCUAGUCUCUCCAUAGAUUGAUCUUGGUGAUGCAUAGAAUUUUUUUAAUUUCUACAACGAUCCCAACAGUAUUGAGAUACCGACGAUCGAAUCUCGGGCAAGUAACAUACCGAUGACAAAGGGAACAACGUAUGUUGUUAUGCGGUUUGACCGAUAAAGAUCUUCGUAGAAUAUGUAGGAGCCAAUAUGAGCAUCCAGGUUCCGCUAUUGGUUAUUGACCGGAGAUGUGUCUCGGUCUUGUCUACAUAGUUCUCGAACCCGUAGGGUCCGCACGCUUAACGUUCGAUGACGAUUUGUAUUAUGAGUUAUGUGAUUUGACGACCGAAGUUUGUUCGGAGUCCCGGAUGAGAUCACGGACAUGACGAGGAGCCUCGAAAUGGUCGAGAGGUAAAGAUUCAUACAUUGGAAGGCUAUAUUCGGACAUCGGAAAGGUUCCGAGUGAUUCGGGUAUUUUUCGGAGUAUCGGGAAGUUACGGGAAUUCACCAGGAGAAGUAAUGGGCCUUAUUGGGCCAUACAGGAAAGGAGGAGGCAGGCCAAUGGGGAGGUGGCCCCCCCCAUGGGUCCGAAUUGGACUAGGGGAAGGUGCCCCCUUGCCCUUUCCUACUCCCUCUCUCUUUCCCCCUUUCCUUCUCUCCUACUCCGAAAAGGAAAAAGGAUUCCUACUAGGACUUGGAAGUCCUAGUAGGACUCCAUACUCUUGGCGCGCCCCCUAGGCCGGCCGCCUCCUCCCUCCCUCCUUUAUAUAUGGGGGAGGGGAGCACCCCAAAGACACACAAGUUUCUCUUAGCCGUGUGCGGUGCCCCCCUCCACAGUUACACACCUCGGUCAUAUCGUCGUAGUGCUUAGGCGAAUCCCUGCGCCGGUAACUUCAUCAUCACCAUCACCACGCCGUCGUGCUAACGGAACUCUCACUCGUCCUCAACUAGAUCAAGAGCUCGAGGGACGUCAUUGUGCUGAACGUGUGCUGAACACGGAGGUGCCGUACGUUCGGUACUUGGAUCGGUUGGAUCGUGAAGACGUUCGACUACAUCAACCGCGUUACUAUCCGCUUCCGCUUUCGGUCUAUGAGGGUACGUGGACAUACUCUCCCGUCUCGUUGCUAUGCAUCUCCUAGUUAGAUCUUGCUUGAUCGUAGGAAAUAUUUUGAAAUGCUACGUUCCCCAACAGUUGCUGACCAUGUCGGCCAUCCCAAACGGCUUACAUGCAAGGAAGAAAUAUACUCGAUGGAGUAGUUAUCCUUCACGAGACCGUUCACGAGAUGCACCGGAAGAACAUGAGUGGGGUAGUAUUGAAAAUUGACUUUGAAAAGGCAUAUGAUAAAGUCAAAUGGUCAUUUCUACAGCAGACCCUGAGAAUGAAAGGUUUCUCCGAUAAAUGGCGUGAGUAGAUCCAAAUUUCGUUAUUGGAGGCAGUGUGGCUAUCAAAGUCAAAGAUGAUGUAGGCCAUUACUUCCAGACGAAAAAAGGAUUACGUCAAGGUGACUCACUGUCCAAUGUUAUUUAACAUUGUCGCUGACAUUCUGGCUACUUUGAUUGAACGCGCCAAACAGAAUGGUCAAAUUGCAGGAGUAGUGCCACAUCUUGUCGAUGGAGGACUCUCUAUCUUGCAAUAUGCCGAUGAUACGAUUCUUUUUAUGGAACAUGACCUUGAUAAGGCAAGAAAUCUGAAACUUCUGCUUUCAGCUUUUGAGCAAAUGUCAAGCUUGAAAAUCAACUUCCAUAAAAUUGAAUUGUUCUGUUUUGGAGAAGCCAAGGAGACGGCUGCACAAUAUGCUGACUUGUUUGGAUGUGCACAAGGCCAAUUCCUGAUUAAAUAUUUGGGAAUUCCGAUUCAUUAUCGGCGUCUCACUAAUACGGAGUGGAAACAUGUUGAAGAGCGAUUGGAGAAACGGUUGAGCAGUUGGAAAGGAAAAAUGCUCUCCGUUGGAGGACGACUAGUUUUGAUCAAUUCUGUCCUCACCAACAUGGUUCUCUACAUGCUCUCAUUUUUCCAACUACCCAAAGGGGUUCUGCAAAGACUGGAUUACUUCAGAUCCAGAUUUUUUGGCAAGGAGACAAUGAAAAGAAAAAGUAUAGAAUAACCAAAUGGAGCGUCGUUUGCCGACCGAAAGACCAAGGAGGCUUAGGUGUUCAGGACCUCCAGGUCAAGAAUGACGCCUUACUCAGUAAAUGGUUGUUCAAGCUUCUUACUGAGGAUGGUGUUUGGCAAACUAUGCUACGCAACAAGUAUUUAGGCCAAAAGGCGUUAUCCCAGGCUUAUUGGAAGCCCGGUGACUCGCAUUUUUGGGCUGGUCUGAUGGCGGUAAAGAAAAAAAUUUCCGUUUCGGAUCCUUCGCGAUAAAGGACGACUCGGAGAUAUGUUUCUGGGAGGACAACUGGCUAGGAAAUACCACUCUCCGAGAACAGUACCCAGCCUUGUACCGCAUUGUACGCAAUAAGAAUGAUACUCUUGCACAUGUGAUGACCACUUCCCCGCCAGAUAUAUCAUUCCGGAGGGAUUUGGUUGGGCCCCGUCUUGUGUCAUGGCAACAUCUUCUAUCCCGUUUGGAUUCGAUUAACUUGACACAAGGACGGGAUGUCUUUCGCUGGAAUCUUACUACAUCUGGGUCCUUCGCAGUUGACUAUGUAUCGUGCAUCGUCGCACACAGAGAUUCCAGUGGCCAAUAAUAAACAAAUCUGGAAAUCGAAGAUGCCACUAAAAGUUAAGAUUUUCAUAUGGUAUCUUCGGAGAGGAGUUGUGCUAACUAAAGACAACCUCGCUCGACGCAACUGGAAAGGAAGCAAGAAAUGUAGUUUUUGUACUCAUGACGAGACAAUCAAACAUCUCUUCCUUCAAUGCAAGUUUGCGUGUUCUACAUGGUCAAUUAUCCAAAUAGCGUCAAAUUUGUAUCCACCAACAAGUGUUACCAAUAUAUAUGGUCACUGGCUUGAUGGAAUACCAAAUACUUUUAAUACGCUAAUACGGGUGGGAGCGUCUGCCUUACUAUGGUCACUUUGGCUAUGUAGAAAUGAUUGUGUUUUUAAUGGCAAAAUCUCUUCUCCUAUGCAGGUUAUUUACCGUUAUACGCACUGGCUUCGUAUGUGGUCUACUCUGCACCGAACGGAGUACCAAUCGCUGUUCAAGGCGGUGUGUAUGCGGUUGGAGCGGGUGGCCAGGGAGGUUUUUAGCCAACAUGGUGGCAGCAUAAUCUCCGAAUCGGUCCACCUUCUCCGUCGACAUAGGCACAGUUUUGGCCGCAUAUGGCUUUACUGUUGCCACUUUGUCGUUUUUAUAUUUUUUGUCAGACUGUUUGUUUGAUGGUUGUGUGCAUCUUAGCUAUGCAGAGGCCGGGUGUCGUUCUUUAUGUUUUGUAUCCACUCGAUUCUACAUUUUGAGUUAAUAAAAACGCCUUUAUCGAAAAACAAGCCCCACGGUUUAGUUCAGUAGAAUCAGUACUGCAGUAGCGGACGACUGAUGCAUUGGACAGACAACUACAGAACUGCCGGUAUACUCCACUGGAUGCUAGUACGCUGAAGAUCACGUUGCAACAGCUUAGGAAGGCAGGCGGUCACCUCGCUCACGGAGCGAAAGGGGCAGCGGCUACCGCGGCGCCGGCGGUGCGGAGGAGGUAGUAGUAGCGCUGCGGGUUGGCCUCGAACGCCAGGCGGGAUAUCAGCAGACCGCGGGAUCCAGGGGCUUUCAUCAUGGCCACGGCCACCGACGCCGGCCAGAAGAACAUGUACGCGCCCACGGCGAUCACCGCUGCCGCAGCGGCCCCGAAGAUGAAGCCCGCCGGAACCGCCAUCAGUCGCGCUCGAUCCGAGCUUUGUUUUGGUGUAUGGCAGAAUAAAGGGGAGAAACGGGUGGUGAAAUGGGGUGGAAUAACGCAGAGCUCAAGGAGCCCAUAUAUUGUGCUGCCGCGCCGGUGCAUUUGCUGCAUUCUUGGGAGAGGAAGAGGAAGAGCUUGAGCUGGGAAGGCGAGAAGACUGACCCGGUAGUCUGCAGAGUAGAGUACAAGGCGACUCUGUUGCAGUUCCAAGUCUAGCAAGUGUUGUUUACGAGAUGGAAUGCAAACAGGCGCCCUGUCGUACUCCGAGUAUUGUUUCGUGGACAGCCGUUUCGCACUCCAUGGUCACUUCAGAGAAUGGAUUUUUUUUUGGAGGAUACUUCAGAGAAUGGUUAAUACUAUCCUCAACUGCUGGCUAUACGUAGCUGUCAUGCCACUUCUGUACACUUCUUUUUACACGAUCAUAUAUGCAGGUUGUGUCGAACUCGAGUGGCACAAGAGAUGGUAAGCAGUACCAUAUAAUAUAUAGCCGUAUAUGGUAGUAAUAUCAUAGCUUAAUACUUUUUCGGCAUCAAAAUAAUUGAAGUCGUAGAAUUAUCCUAAGUCAAAAUAUUUAAAGUUCGACCAAGUCUAUAAAAAAUAUAAUUAAAAAUCUACAAUAUCAAAUAUUAUGUAUAAUAUGGGAGGCGACACGGAGGAACAGUGAAGGGGUGAUGGGUAGGGAUCCAUCCGGUGAUGCUGCCUCGGUGGCGGCUGUGGCCUGGAGCUCUUAACCCACCCAUUAGGAUCUAUGUGGGAUUACGGCCCGGGUCGUGGCUUCAGGCAUCUUGGAGUCGUCGGGCCUCAAUGGCUACUAGGCAUCAUGGUGGCCGUUAUGGCUUAGGCGGCGAGGAGCGGCGGCGGCGGCGGAUUGAACCAAUGUGAACGGUGUUGCCCAAAUCAAGUGGGCUGGGAUGAGGUGUCCGACGAAACAAAUGAAUGUCCUGUCCGUCUUCAGUCAAUGCCAAUAGUGACAACAUCCAUGGGUGUUGUUUUCACUCCUUGGAGGCAUCACUGAAGUGUGCCGGCAUCCCACUAUCACUUGGGUUGUUGUUUUUAAGGACGAAAGCCUAGGUUCAGUUUCAUAUCGGCGAUGGUGGCGCUCCUUGACGUCGCUUCUUUGUUGGGAGCAUCAUAUUUGGAGACAUGACUUAAAGGUUGUGUGUUGCAUUCAUUCGUGUUUGCCACUUCUCUGGGUUGAUCUUCAUGGGCGCAAUGCACGUUUGGCGCGGAUGAGUCCAAGAUGAUGGCUUUCUCGGGACUGGUCGUGUCGCGCCACCCACUUGCCGUACUCAGGACUCCUAUAGGCCUUCAAGAAUGGUUGGUGCGUUGAUAAGGGAAGUUCAAUUUGAGUUAUUGCUCUGCUCUGGCCUUUGCCACCAUGACGUGUGACACGUACCUUGUGCAGACACGAUACCGGCCGCUCCUCCGCCUCAACCCGAAUGACUUCAUCCUGUUUUUGGACAAGAUCUUUGCCGACCGGUAGGAGAACAUGCCGUACACCUUGCUCCCUGAGUCGGUCACUAGUCUGGCAUCUCUAGCCAAUCCCUUAUAAUUUAGCCCCUCAAACGGCCCACCGCCAUCGGAUCUAGGCCAGAAAUUGAACCGCUCGCCUCCACCACACCGACUGUGGCGCUCCUGCGCCAACCUCGCUGGCCCACCUCCCCUCACCGUCACCCAUCGCCGAGCAUGCGCCUUCCCGACCAUCUUUCUAAACCAUUGCACCACCAGACUUUAGCAGUGAACCCGACCCCCCUCCCUCACCACCGUCUGCCUCUGACUCCCCUCCACCAGCUUGCCUCGUUCCUGCCAGAAGCCUUGCUGACGUCCCGGCCCUUGCUCGCCACUCACGGGCUCGAUGGUGCGCCUCGUCUCUUCUUUCUCCCGCAAAUUGACCACCAGAUAUUUUUGAAGUGUAGAUUCACUCAUUCUACUUCGUAUGUAGUCGGUAGUGGAAUCUCUUGAAAGACUUAUAUUUAGGAAUGAAGGUAGUAACAUUUACCAAAACUGAAAAAGAACUGUAGCACCUGAUGUGCUGCAGAGCCUACACAGGAGAACUGCAUUGCGCGCAUAUAAAGAAAGAGCAGCCACACAUCGAAACUUAGGAUGAGUCUCCAUGUUGAUUACUCAUUACAUAGCCAUAACAUACUUGAGAGUUGAGACAUGACAGACACCACCUAGUAUGAGUAGCGCAGAACACAUUUCCACACGUACACCAUAUAUGUGCGUAGCAUGCCUGGAGGAGAAGCGCAUGUACACGCGCUGGGAUUUUUUGUCCAAAAGGACCCCCUGCCAAAAUGAAUUGACAAAAAAGACUACCUGUGGAUCAAUUUGACAAAAAGUACCCCCUCAGCAGUGGCAGCAGGCGCGGCAGGCGAUACGUGGCACCUGCCGCCACGCCAGGAGGCGGCGGGCCCUGCCGCCACUGCAGGAGGCGGCAACAAGGGUAAAACGCGAUUCGCACAGUACCCCGAGCCAGGACGGAACGGGCGAGGCUAGGUGGGCCACGCCGCCACUAUGCGAGGCGGCCUCUGUUGCCGCUGUCGCUCGCAGGCCAACAGGCCGUGCUGUUCGCGGGCCCAGCCUGUGGGCCACGCCGCCACCGCAGCAGGCGGCAUCCCUCUGUUGCUGCACGCGCGACAACGUCGCAGACGGCGCUGAUUUUUACGGGCGGAAAUCUGUGCAUAUUUGACCGCUUGUGCUGGUUGGUUUUCUCUACUCGCGAUGAUUCUGCUGCCCGUGAGCUGGCUUUUGCGACUGCUUUGUAUGCACCCGCACUGAUUCCACCGCGGUGCUGCCUAGGGACUCAACUGCCUUUUGCUUGAGCGGACGCGACGGCACUGCGGGAAUCACUCACCCAGCGCUGGCUUUUGCUUCAAAGGACGCGAUGGCACUGUAUUAAUACACUCACUCGCUGCGGGAAUCCGAGGCUGCGGUAGGUGAGUUUAUCCUGUUGUGCCGACACCACAGAGAUCCUCUUCUUUUUAUAUACUAUGCUUCAGCUCCGUGCACAAGCACACUGUCUCUGGCCUUCUCUUCUGCUCUCUAAGUCGUAAGAACGGAGAGAAAGAAGUACUCACUAAGCACUUUCACUCAUGAUUUAGGGCGAUUUAGAGUUGGAUUUUGAAUAUGCUGAAGUGGAAGAAAAGAUAGACGAAGGUAAGAUCUAUCCAUUUUUGUUGGUUUCGUUCGCAUGCAUGAUGUUUUUACUCUUUUUGUUUAGUUCAUAACUAUGUGUUCUCUGUUUUGUUAGGCAUUAUUUCAUCACUUUUUGGAGUCAUUUAGAGCUUCAGGAGUACGAUUUGCCUAGCGAAGUGAACUACGAAGUUGAAGAUCAAGGUAUGAGCUUUGCAAUAAAUUGAUUUUUUUGUGCAUGCAGGAUGGUAAUUAGUUAGUCUUUUAGCUCGUCAUUAGCUAUGCAAUGUUAGUGCUUAGAGGUUAGAAAUAAUUUCAGACAACAGAUGUACCAUUUAUAAUAUAUUUUUUAGAAGAGUAGGUUGAAGAUGUUGUAUCAAUGUUAGGUGCGUCCAUUAGUAUUGACAUGUGAGAAAUCUUAAUAUGGUAAUUAAGAAAAACUUGUACUGUAAUUGUUCAUUGCAUGUGGUACGUUAUUUCAUGUGGUAUGUUUAUUAAUAAGUCUAUAGUUAGAAAACCGUAGGUCUACUUUGUUAUGUCGCAAUAAUCUAAAUUUUAUAUGUUAAGAUUAGGUGCUAAUGUACUUAAUGAUGUAUGUAAUUAGGUAAAAUAAUUCAUCUUAGUAGCAAACAAGGAGGAGAUGACGUGAUUGAAGAAAUUGUGUAUCCAUCUUCGCUGUCCCUUGUGAGGUGAUGACCACAUACAUGCAAGUGCUAUUUUCAUACUUUUGAUAGCAGAAAGAAAAAUCCGUGUGUAAUAUUGAUGUUCAUGUGAUAAUAGGUCGACUCCGUUCAUAUAUUACUGGUGACGGAUAUUUAUUCGAACUAUUUGGACGCUUAAUUGCAUUCGCAAGCACAUCCAUAUUGGAGCUAAGGUAUAAAAUGACGCCGUAAUGUUGUUAAUAUUUUUUAUAUUGAUGUACUGUUGUGAAUAAUAUGCAUGCCGCUGCAAAUAUUAUUAUUUGUAAAUAAAUGAUUGCUAUCGUAUGAUAUGAAAAAAUUAUAUAAAGCCGGAAGAAAUUAAAUGUUUUACUCAUAUGAUAUUAAAAUGUUAUUAUCAUACUAUUAUGUUUAGUGGUUGUUUGUCAUAACGAGUAAUUACCAUCGGUUUUGUCAUAACUUGUUGAAGAAAAUUAGUUUUUACUAAUAAUCGUUUUUCCAAAAGCUCAGUUUUUGCAUGUUACGAGAAUCAGUUUAGGAUAUUUUUGGGGUAGUUGGAGAAAAGCAAACGGAGUUUUAGUUUGUGACGCUCGUAGACGAGUUAGAGAAAAAAAAAGAUCUCUAAAUACCCAUAACCAAACAACCCCGGAAAGUCUAAGCAAAUGAUUCUAAAAACAAAACGAAUAUUUAUAACGAAAAUACGAUUAUUAUUUUAGUCGUCUGAUAUGUAAAUGUUGUCAUUGUACUACUAUUAAAUGUUCAGUUACUAAUUGUUUGAAAUGUAAACAUGUAUUUUGGUUAGGUACUAUGGAAAAUUUAGUAGUGUACUAUGGGAAUGUCUUACGGGACGGUCCUUUCGGGGUGGAUGUGUCCUUGUGCGAGUCGACUACAGUUGUAGUUAGAGACAUGGUGAACGUGGGUUACGCAGCUGUCAGAAGGUGCCUCCGAGCGGUGUUUGGCCCAGGGAUGCAGGGAAAAAAAUGACAAUGGAGGCCUUCGUCGCUGACGGAGCAAAUGAUGGGAUAGCUGCCCGUUGGGGUUUGCGGCCUGUCACAGGUGAUCAGUCGUGGGGGUCGUACAUGAGGUUUGCAAGCAAUCCCAAUAACCCAGUGUUUGGUCAGCCGAUGGUGUAUGUGGAGUUCAUUUCAGUCACUGAUGUUGCCGGAUGCAGUAGCAGGGGCGGUGAGGUCGAGUUGGCCAUCACAUCAGCCCCUAGCAUCGGCCCAUCGGAAGCGACAGGCGACCGGCCUGUGUAUGACACAUGAUAUUGGACUGCGGCCGUUGACAUGAGUGAACACGUGGAGGGAUUGCCGGAGGCGCUCGAUGAUGACGAUCACUCUUCCGCGUCUUCCGAGUCAAGCGAAGAAGAAGAUGUUCCUCCCCAGAGGACGGUCGCGGCGUCACUGCAACCUGGGUUUUUACAGGAUAUGAGCAUCACAAAUGAAUUUCACUCUGUUUCUGGCCUAGAAGCGGGGAGCCUGGAGGUUGGGCAGGUUUUCCUAGACAAGAAGUCUGCUUACCAAGCAAUUAAUAGGUAUGCAAUCGCCCUCCACCGCCAGCAAAAAGUGAAGCAGUCUGAUAAAAAAGAGUUGAAGGUCAUAUGCAUCCACACCGCGAAAGGUUGCCGCGGAAGAGUUCUCGCUAGACUGAAGCCUGGGGUAUGUCAGUCAUGGCAUAUCACAAAAAUAGUGCAGCAUAGCUGUGAGCAAACUGGGACUCUUUCAAAUCACUGCAAUGUGACGGCAAGAUAUGUGGCACAGGUGAUGGAAACGAUUGUGCAGGGAAGUCUCAACAUUAGUGUUAGGGCUUUGCAAAAAGAUGCAGAAGAUCAGAUUGGCUUCCCUGUCAGCUACAGCAAGGCUAGGCGUGCGAAGGAAAAUAUAUUCAAGAACUUGUAUGGAACCUAUGAGGAGGCCUAUUCUUAUGCCCCCAGAAUGCUUCAUCAGAUAGCAAGUGCUAAUAGGGGGACUCAAGUUUGGCGGAGAGAACGUCAGAACCCAAAGAACCCGGGUGAGCUAAUCCUUGACCGCUUAUUCUGGGCAUUCGCCCAGACUAUACAAGCCUUCAGGCACUGUCGCCCGGUAUUAUCAGUUGAUGGUACCUUUCUCACUGGAAAGUACAAGGGCACACUAUUGGUGACGAUUGCAGCAGAUGCAAAUAAUCUGCUUCUUCCUAUUGAAUACGCACCGGUCGAGAGCGAGAACAAAGAUAGCUGGUUGUGGUUCCUGAGCUGCGUGAAGAUGGGUGUCGUGAAAGAGCGUAUAGGUGUUUGCAUCAUCUCUGAUCGCAACACAGGAUUAUUAAGUGCUCUCAACAUAAUUAAGGAGUCGUCAGAAGAGUGGGGGUGGCCGGAUCUAGAGGGAAGGUGGUGCAUGCGGCAUUUGGCAGCAAACUUUUACUCCAAAUUCAAGAAUAAGGAUUGGUUCAAGUUAUUCAAGAGGAUGUGCAUGCACAAAACUGAAGCCAAAAUGAAUGCCAUCUGGGCAGGUAUCAAUGGUGAGAUCGAGCGCGCGGCCUUGCCGCAGAGAGAAGACCGGAGGGGUCGAAGGACGACCAUAAAUUUGAGCCAGUGGAUCGGCAAGAAUUGCCCUGAUUUGUACAAGUGGGCGCAGGCUCACGACACCGGGGCUCGGUAUGGAAUAAUGACCAGCAACAUGUCAGAGGUGUACAAUGGUGUUCUUAAAGGGGUGAGAGCCUUACCUAUCACAGCCCUAAUUGAAGAAACUUGGAACCGGACCCUGUCAUACUUUGCAGACAGGGUUACCGUGGCUAAAGCACAAGUUGAAUUGAACAAGCCAUGGUCCGAGAAGAUGCAAAGACAUCUGAACGAGAAAGCAAAGAAGUCCCAAAGCCAUGGCUGCAGGAAAGUGGACGCACUUAGGAAUAAGUGGGAGGUCAAUGUGCGAGCCAAGUAUGUUAAGGGUCACCACAGAGGAUCAAAAAAGCAAGCUGUCACCCUCAGCCCAACAUCCUGUGAGUGCACGUGUAACAAGGCCAAGCUUGAGGGCUACCCUUGUAGUCAUGUGCUCCGGGCAGCUGCAGAUAAAAAAAAUCAGUGUUGAGCCAUACAUAUCACCGUACUUCAACAUGUACAAUCUGUACAACACUUGGAACGGUGAGUUCAGGGCCUGGGGCAUUGAUAUGAACUACAAAAUGAUGUGGCCAGAUGGGCCGAAAUGGGUUCCGAAUGCCGACUUGAUGAGAACCGCCAAGGGACGACGUCAGUCUAGGCGUCAUCGCAAUGACAUGGACCAUAGCCAGAUGGGAGAACCAAGGCGAUGCCGCGUUUGUAGGUGUCCUGGACAUUCACGUAGGGAAUGCCUGUAUCGAGCGAACAACACCGCAUGAUGUUCAUUUAUCUGUACUCGCUAUGUCUACUUAUAUUUGUAUUAUACUUUUAUUAAUUUAAAUUGAAUAUGUUUGUAUUAUUGAAUCUCUUUGUGUUAUUGUAUUUAUAUUUAUUUUAAAUUGAAUCUCUUUGUAUUAUUGUGUUAUUGUAUUUAUAUUUAUUUUAAAUUGAAUCUCUUUGUAUUAUUGAAUCUCCUUGUGUUUUUUUGUAUGUUUGUGUGCAGGUUAUGGCUGAAGUGCCACGGCUUUUGGAGGGGCCCCAUGACGCCGGCCACCGUUGCCACCUAUCUUUGAACCCAAAUAAAGAACAUGAUUAUCGGAGUUUCAGACUUCGAACCGUAAAGAAAACCUGGCCAAUACACAAUUAUUUCAUUCCUCACCUUGACGCUUAUGGACUACAUGCUUUUGCUAGGCUCACAUCAAGCGAAGACCCAUCCCAGUUACGUUCGGACCCAUCCCUUUUGACAUCCCUCGUUGACCGGUGGAGACCUGAAACCCACACCUUUCACUUUCAUUUUGGGGAGCUUGCACCUACACUGAAAGAUGUUUCUAUGAUCCUUGCUCUACCAAUUAGAGGUGAGCCGUUAGUCUCUCGACGAGUGUCUAAAACUUGGGCACAAAAUAUAUCAGACCGUCUUGGGAUGACAAUGCCAGAAUCACAACAUACUGGUGGCCCUCGUGGCAUCCCACUCCCCUGGCUUCAUGAUAACUUUCUUAAUUUUUCUAGCUUCGCUGAUUCUGAGACGAGGAAAAGACAUCUGUUUGCGUAUUUGUUGUGGCUCCUCAGGGUUAUGUUUCCAAAUUCACACGGGGACGUACUUCUCCCUGGUCUCAUCUACAUUGUGGAGAAGAUGGUAGUUGAACCUUUACCCGAGCAGCCAAAAUACAGCUUCGGUUCUGCCAUUCUAUCUCAUACAUAUAGAGGCUUGUGUGAUGCCACACAAAAAACUUCCUUCGCAAAAAAAGCUCCGUUACUUUAUGUCCCCUACGAGUUUCUACAGUUGUGGUCCUGGGAAUACCUCCCUGUAGGACGACCUCGUAUAAUAAAUCCCAUACACCCAUACGACUAUAGGGAGGGCAGCUGUGUAACUAUGGCCAGCAGGUGGACAAAGGCACGGAAACAUUGGUCUCCAAGUAUUGCGAAAAAUUGUUACUGUAACGCCCACGAUGCGGCUAUAUCUCCCACGUGCCGAGGCACGACUUAGAGGCAUAACCGCAUUGUAGGCACCAAGAACAAUGUUCUCGUCACAAAGUCAUCGGAACGAUUCCAAGAUACCCGCGUUAUCCUAAAAAUAAUUUAGUGAAAUUUGAGGAGAGAAGAGUCAACACUUCUACGUCAGGAGGCCUCACCAGAGUGACGAAGGGACUGAGGAGUAAAAAGAAUCCUACUCUCCGAUAUAUAUAAUCCUAAGACUCAAAACAUUUUUCUUCUAGACUCAACAACGCCAGCGAUUCGAUCAAGCAGGGGGCUCCUAAGUCGAGGAUGGCUCUGAUUACCAACUUGUAACGCCCACGAUGCGGCUAUAUCUCCCACGUGUCGAGGCACGACUUAGAGGCAUAACCGCAUUGUAGGUAUUGUCGCAAGAAGGGUCAUCUUCACACAAUCCCAUGUAAUGAAUAAGAAUGGGAUAACGAGAGUUGGCUUACAAUCGCCACUUCACACAAUACAUAAUUUAAUUCAUACCAUCCAAAAUCCACACAUAGACCGACUACGGUCAAAUCCAAAUGAAAAUAAGAUAACCCCAAAUGCUAGAUCCCCGAUCGUCCCAACUGGGCUCCACUACUGAUCAUCAGGAAAAGAAACAUAGUAACGACCACGUUCCUCGUCGAACUCCCACUUGAGCUCGGUUGCAUCAUCUGCACUGGUAUCGUCGGCACCUGCAACUGUUUUGGUAGAAUCUGUGAGUCACGAGGACUCAGCAAUCUCACACCCGCGAGAUCAAGACUAUGUAAGCUUAUAGGAAAGGAUGGUGUAAUGAGGUGGAGCUGCAGCAGGCACUAAGCAUAUAUGGUGGCUAACAUACGCAAAAGAGAGCGAGAAGAGAAGCAUCGCAACGGUCGCGAAGCUAGAAAUGAUCAAGAAGUGAUCCUGAAACUCUUACGUUCAUGCAUAACUCAAACCGUCUUCAUUUCCCGGACUCCGCCGAAAAGAGACCAUCACGGCUACACACACGGUUGAUGUAUUUUAAUUAAGUCAAGUGACAAGUUCUCUACAACCGGACAUUAACAAAUUCCCAUCUGCCACAUAACCGCGGGCACGGCUUUCGAAAGAUAAUACCCUGCAGGGACCAUCACGGCUACACACACGGUUGAUGUAUUUUAAUUAAGUCAAGUGACAAGUUCUCUACAACCGGACAUUAACAAAUUCCCAUCUGCCACAUAACCGCGGGCACGGCUUUCGAAAGAUAAUACCCUGCAGGGGUGUCCCAACUUAGGCCAUUAUAAGCUCUCACGGUCAACGAAGGAUAAACCUUCUCCCGGGAAGACCCGAUCAGUCUCGGAAUCCCGGUUUACAAGACAUCUCGACAAUGGUAAAACAAGACCAGCAAGACCGCCCGCUGUGCCGACAAAUCCCGAUAGGAGCUGCACAUAUCUCGUUCUCAGGGCACACCGGAUAAGCUAAGCGUACAGGUACCAACGUAACCCAAGUUGCCAAGGGACGGUCCCGCACGGUGCUCUAGUUUGGACCAACACUCGGAGGAGCACUGGCCCGGGGGUUAAAAUAAAGAUGACCCUCGGGCUCGCGAAAACCCAAUGGAAAAGGCUUAGGUAGGCAAAUGGUAAACCAAGGUUGGGCCUUGCUGGAGGAGUUUUAUUCAAGGCGAACUGUCAAGGAGGUCCCAUAAAUCACCCAACCGCGUAAGGAACGCAAACUCAAGGAACAUAAUACCGGUAUGACGGAAACUAGGGCGGCAAGAGUGGAACAAAAACACCAGGCAUAGGGCCGAGCCUUCCACCCUUUAUCAAAUAUAUAGAUGUAUUAAUUAAAUAAGAGAUAUAGUGAUAUUCCAAAAAUAUCCAUGUUCCAACAUGGAACCAACUUCAACUUCACCUGCAACUACCAACGCUAUAAGAAGGGCUGAGCAAAAGCGGUAACUUAGCCAAACAACGGUUUGCUAGGAAAGGAUGGUUAGAGGCUUGACAUGGCAAUAUGAGAGGCAUGAUAUAGCAAGUGGUAGGUAGCGCAGCAUGGCAAUAGAACGAACAACUAGCAAAGCAAAGAUAGAAGUGAUUUCGAGGGUAUGGUCAUCUUGCCCGCAAGGUUCUCAGAGUUGUCGAAAGCUUGAUCCUCGUAAGCGUACUCAACAGGUUCCUCGUUCACGAACUCGUCUCCCGGCUCUACCACAGCAAGAACACAAUCAACGGAACCACAAUCAAUCACAGGAAAUGCACAAGCAACAUGAUGCAAUACAUGCAUGAUAUGCGAGAUGUGAUAUGCGAUGCAUAUGCGUGCUCCGGAAGAAAAAGGAUGAACAAGGCAGUAACUUGGCAAACCAAGUAUGCCACUGAAAAGAUGAGAUGAUUUCGGUCGAAAUCGAUAUAAAUAUCACCGGAAACGGAUGCACGGUUUGCAAGUGGCAAGCAAAACAAGAAUGACACGAUUCUGCGAUUAACAGCAUGAUAGCACUUAGAAUACAUCAAGUAGCUAUGCCACAGCACCCCAACAUAGUAACAAAGCAUAUAGCAGUGAUCUACAGGAGAUGCUUGACAAAAUAUGAACACUGAGCUACGGCUAGAUCACAAUAUAACAGGUACAAACAAGCAUGACAAAAGUGCAAAAGAUAUCAGUUUCACAGACUUUGUGAAAUUACUGGACAUGGCAGAAACAACAUCAGGUAGCAAAUUUCAGAGCAAGGAAAACACAUGCUACGGGAAGUUAACAUAGCAAAACAGGGCAUGCAAUGAAUCUACUAAAUGCAUAUAACAAAAGUCCAUUACUGACCAUGAGCCAAAAAGGACCAGAAGAUAUGAUGGCACUCAUGUAAACAUAGCAAGUUUCGUUAACAGGUUUCAGACUUAGCAGUAAACAGAACACGACAUUAACAGAAAUUAUGAGGGCAUCUUGGUGAGCUUGAUUCACUCAUCACAAAGCAAUGCAUGACAAAACAAGCAUAUCUACAGCAAGAAGACAUGUUUAUGAAGCUAACCAUGGUAAGAUCAAGUUCAUAGCAUGUAUGGAUCAACUACAACAACCUUGGCAAAAUUGAAUAUCAAGUUAACAAUCUGCCAGGAAUAUUUAAUAGCAACAGUAGAGCAAGAUUAAGACAUGCUAGGGCACUCCAUAAUUGCAAACAGGGGCAUGGAUGGAUAGAGCACAACUAUAUAUACAAAACAUCCUUACUGAGCAUACUCAAAAGAAGCAUGGAUCUCUCUGUAGCCACAUGGAUACAUGGCAAGAAAAUAACAGCAGAUAAAAAACUUAGCAAAAUCUCAAGUCCCUGAAAACAGAAACAGCAUGAAGCCUAGUUUGCAUGCUUGUGCUAGUCACCACAUAGAUUACAAAAAUACAUGGAAUACACCCCUGUAAAGAUGGCAUGGCAUAGAUCAAAACACCUGUAGAGCUCAUGCCCAUAAGAUGCACACAACAAAUGUAACAAAAAUAACAAAACAUCAAGUUCUGAUAAGUAACAGCAGUAAACAUCAUAUAGCACUCUGGUACCAGAGAUUUGGGCACAAGAUGUACUCAAACGAGCAUGGCACAAUGGAACAAAAUGAAAAGCAUCUCGAGUCGAACAUUUUGAUAUAUCAUGCGUGCAAAACGGAGCAGUAUGCAGUGAGAUAUGAUGCAAUGAACAUGAGCACAUAAUGUGAAAAUACUUCGGGACUUGGAGAAUUUCGGGGGGGGGAGUCAACCUUCUCUUGGAUCUGGAUCGGGGUGCGCAAUCCGAGGUCCGCCGGGGUUCGGUCGGAGUUGGAGAGGAGGAGGCCGGAGAUGAANNNNNNNNNNNNNNNNNNNNNNNNNNNNNNNNNNNNNNNNNNNNNNNNNNNNNNNNNNNNNNNNNNNNNNNNNNNNNNNNNNNNNNNNNNNNNNNNNNNNNNNNNNNNNNNNNNNNNNNNNNNNNNNNNNNNNNNNNNNNNNNNNNNNNNNNNNNNNNNNNNNNNNNNNNNNNNNNNNNNNNNNNNNNNNNNNNNNNNNNNNNNNNNNNNNNNNNNNNNNNNNNNNNNNNNNNNNNNNNNNNNNNNNNNNNNNNNNNNNNNNNNNNNNNNNNNNNNNNNNNNNNNNNNNNNNNNNNNNNNNNNNNNNNNNNNNNNNNNNNNNNNNNNNNNNNNNNNNNNNNNNNNNNNNNNNNNNNNNNNNNNNNNNNNNNNNNNNNNNNNNNNNNNNNNNNNNNNNNNNNNNNNNNNNNNNNNNNNNNNNNNNNNNNNNNNNNNNNNNNNNNNNNNNNNNNNNNNNNNNNNNNNNNNNNNNNNNNNNNNNNNNNNNNNNNNNNNNNNNNNNNNNNNNNNNNNNNNNNNNNNNNNNNNNNNNNNNNNNNNNNNNNNNNNNNNNNNNNNNNNNNNNNNNNCGUGGGCCGGGAGGGCCCGAUCCGGGCCCUGGCGGGCCGCGGCGCGGGGACGGCGGCGGCGCCCACGUGGCACGGUCCAGUUGGCUCGGGGCGGCGGUGGAAAUCUGUCUGGCGCAGGUGCAGACGUGUCCGGCGCACGGAGGAAGAAGGAGGCUAGGGUUAGGGUGGAAUCAUCCGCGAAUUUCGGGGGAGGGGGUGUUUAUAUAGUCAUAGGGAGCUAGGAGAGUCCAAAUGAGGCACGGUUUUCGCCCACACGAUCGUGAUCGAACGACCGAGAGCAUGGAGGGGACUUAGAUGGGUUAUUGAGUCGUUUGGAGGGGGUUUUGUUGCAACACACAAAAGGACUUUGCGGUUACCCGAUUAACCGUUGGAGCAUCAAACGACCUCCAAAUGGAACGAAACUUGACAGGUGGUCUACCGGUGGUAUACCAAGGCCACUUGGCAAUCCUCGGUCCAUUCCGAGAAUGUUUAACACCCGCUCAUGAAAAGAAACAAGAGGGGUGCGCCGGUGCACGUGGGAGUGCCGGAUUGCAAAACGGACAACGGGGAAAAUGCUCGGACACAUGAGACGGACACGUAUGCAAAUGAGAUGUAAAUGAUGACAUGAUAUGAGAUGCAUGACAUGAACAAAAUGCAAAACGAAAGACAAAACCCAACCACGGAGGGAAUAUCAUAACGCAUAGCCAAAAAUGGCAAGAGUUAGAGUUACAAAUAUGGAAAGUUACAUCCGGGGUGUUACAGUUACCCUAUAUACCAGCAGCAGUUUGAGGCACUUGAUGAGUCUGUAGUCACAUGGAACCCAUGGACUCAGGAGCAUGUACAGAUGGUCUUUGAUAUACGACCCAUCACAGCAGGCAUGUUGACCGAUAGUGCAUUCUGGCUGACUCUCUGCUACUUAUUGUUCCUGUGGUGUGUUGAGCCUUACAACCCAGAGCGUGUCAUGAGACAGUUCGGUCUGCAUCAGGAAAUUCCACCACCUUUUCCAAGAUGUACGGACGAGGAAACCCAUAAGUAAGAUGUGACCUCCCUAAAUAGUUAGUGUCAUUUUUAAUUUACUAAACUCACACUUUGCUACAUAAUUUGCAGGCUAACCAAUAUGGGCCACGGUUGGAGUCUUUACGAUUGGAGGGAACGCAACAUUCAAUGGGUACAGAAGUGGGAAAAUGAAGCGCUAGCAGAUAUAGUGUAUCAACUUAGGUACAUUUUAUUUACAUUAUUUUAUUACGAUGACCAUACGAUGCAUGAAGAUGCUUUGCUUUCAUCAUAACGGUUGAUGUUAUUAUAUAAUUUUGCAGACCGUACGAUGGAAGUACAGCUCAAGCGUACAAGCAGUGGUACUGCAUCAGCACGCAUACAAGCCUGGCCGGUCAACCAGCUACGAUACCAACAAAUCUCACGCACGAGGAGCAGAUGCAGAGACAUGUUGAGCUGCAUGCAGCUUACUAUCAUGACCGGAUGGUAAUCACUAGUAAUUUUUUCAGGUCCAUCAUUUCAUAAUCAUUUCAACCAAAUAACAACCAAAUAUUUUAUGAUCCCUGUAGUGUCGGCACAACAGGUUCCCGCAGCCUAGGAUUCCUUCCGCAGUGCCGUCGCACCCACUCAAGCAGAACAAGCAAAAGCAGGAGUGAUUCCCGGACAGAAGAAAAGCAGAAGUGAUUCCCGGACAGAAGAAAAGCAGGAGUGAUUCCCGGGAAAAGCAGCAGCACAUCAGCGUCCAUUUUCCGCCGUUGGAAUUAGCGUCGUCAGCUGUCAUGGGAAUCAGCGCCAUCAGUGGUCAGGGGCUGUCGGCCAGCCAGCGCGCCAGGAGAGGCCGCCUCCGGCAAUGGCGGCGAGGCCCACCGGCGGGGCCUGCGGCCUGCACGGCCUGUCGGCCAGCCAACGACCACGCCUAGGAGAGGCCGCCUCCGCCCGUGGCGGCAGGGCCCACCUGGCCCGCCCCGUUCCGUCGCGGCGCGGUGAGUAGUUGGGAUUCCCGUUCGGCUGGGUGGCCGCCUCCUGGCGUGGCGGCAGGUGCCACGUGUCGCCUGCCGCACCUGCCGCCAUGGCCCAGGGGUCUUUUUUGUCAAAUUUAUUCACAGAUAGUCCUUUUUGACAAUUCCGUUGGCCAGGGGGUCCUUUUGGACAAAAAAUCAAGCUGAAAUAGUACUACAGUACGUAGUAGUAGUCAUCAGUCAUCCAAAUAGAAAACACAGUACGCUGGUCAGCAAGCACGCCACAAGGUCGCUUGCGAAGCUCCAAAGAGAGCACACGGCAGGGAUCAAGAUACCAAGAAGAAUGUCACCAUAUAUGAAACCGGCUACGUCGAGGACGACGCCUCCGAACGAACACACGGCAGGGAUCAAGAAACCACGAAUAAGACUAGCGUACGCGAGUCCGACGGUAGCGCCUCCGAAGCUCAGAAGAGAACGCAGGACGGGAACCAAGAAACCACACAGAAGGCCGCUAUACAUUAAGCCAGCGACACCGCCUGCGAAGCUCAGGAAUGAGCACACGACGGGGAUGAAAAAACCACGAACGAGACUAUCAUAUGUGAAACUGGCGACGCCGGAUCCGAAGCUCAAAAGAGAUGACACGACGGGGAUCAAGGAACCACAAAGAAGACUUAGAAAACCAGCGACGUAGCUUCCUGAGCUAAAAAGGAAGUGCAUAGCGCAGGUCAGGAGACGUGGGAGAAGAGUGCCAAAUACGAAAGCAGCGACGGCGCCCGCGAAGCUCAAAAGAGAAGACACGAGAGGGACGAAGAAACCACGAAGACGACGGCCAUACACGAAACCGGCGGCAGCGAUUCCGAAGCGCGAAAGAUAACCCAUGGCGCGGAUCAAUGAGUGGCGAAAACCACCGAGCAGGGAAGCGAGCUCCGGGUGGGCGGCGCACGCGCAUGCCUCCCGCGAAAUUAAGAUCCCCGCGUCGUCGCCCGGUGUCUUCGUCAUCUCGGCCGGCGAGAAGUGGGCGUACACGGCCACCACGACCGCCAGGAUCACGGCCCAGAAGAUCACGUCGAUUAGUGGAGAUGAGAACGACUCCAUGUUUCUCGCUCUAGUGGCCGAGUUUGGGGAGUAGUAGUGGGGAGACGAUCGGAUAGGCAGAGGUUGAGGUGUGGAAAGUGCGUACUAUUAAACGUCACAUUGGUUAGUUUUUUUAUACUCUCGUCCAUUCCAGGGAAGACGUCAAAGAUCAUCAAGGAAGGAAAAGAUUACCAUGUUCUGGAUCGUAGUGCCCCUCGUAAUCUCAUGAUCAAUUAAUUCUGCCAACGAUACAUUGGGUAGCUGUAUGUAUUGGGAACCAGCAAUGCACGAGUUUUAAGUUUUACCGCGACGUUUGAGACUCGUACUACAUCAUGGAUGACCCGUGCUGUGCUUCGCUGUGACGUUUAGGGACUUGCGCACGGUGCUCCGCUGCAUGCGGAUACAAAGUUAGGGCUUCCUUGAUUCAAAGGAUUCUCAAAGGAAUUUUGGAGGAUUCUAAUCUUUAGGAAUUUUUUUCUAUAUGGUUGUUUGAUUCGUAGGAUUGUAAGCCAUAGGAAUUUUUUCAUAGAAUUCAUUUGCACUAGAUUUCAUAGGAAAUUUUCCAUCCACUCAAACCUCUUUGAAAAAAUUCUACGUUUUUCCUAUGCACAAUCAAACACUCAUACAAUCCUGUAGAAUUUAAGAUGACAUGCCACUCCAAUCCCACAUUUUUUAUAUUCCCGCGUUUUGGAAAUCUUACGAAUCAAAGAGGCUUUUAACAAGUACUCUGAAGGAAUUAAGGAUGCAGAUUAUAUGGGUGGCCUCCAAGGAGGCUGAUCGUAAGCACUGAAAUUAGUACUCCCUUCAUAAAGAAAUAUUAGAGCGUUUAUUUAUCUAAACGCUUUUAUAUUUCUUUACAGAGAGAGUAGUGUGGAAUUUCUGAGGGAAUUAAGGUUGCAGGUUGGAUCGGUGGCCUUAGAGAGGGCUGAUCGUAAGCAAUGAAAUUAUUAGUGUGGAAUUGUCACGGCAUUGGCCGUGUGGCGGUAAAAAAUUUCUCCUAGAAAUCCGAAAGCAAGUGUGGUCAAAUGUGAUUUUUCUGUCUUAGUUGCAUCUAAACAAAGUUAGACUAGUCUCAAUGGGUAGUAAUUUAGACUAAUAAUAUGCAUAUGUUAUUAGUCUAUGUUACUACCUCUAUAGUGGAGAGUAAUAUAUGUAUGGUGUCAUGCAACAAUUCAUUUAUUAGGUUGUAGACUAAUGUUGUCUUCGUAUGUGUGAUGUUACAGUAACUAGCUACUCCCUCCUUUCCGGUUUAUAGGGCUUAUCUUAAAAUUUUAGUUUUUCCAUUUUAUAAGGCUCAAUUUGGUUGUUUCCCACCACAUGUUGAUAUUUCAAGGUGUAUUAAAUCAUUGCAUGCAAGUAUUAAGAGAAAAUUGACCAAUGCAUGUAAUUUAUGCAUGCAUGCAUUGCAAUUAAUGCAUUAGUAAACAUACUUUUUUGAGAAAAACAAGAGCAUUAAUUGGAUGCUUUUGCAAACUACAAAUAGUAUUUCAUCACUCACCAUCUACCUUGGUUGAUGAGAUUUUUGAAUUGAGCCUUAUAAACCGAAAAGGAGGGAGUAUGUUACCACAUGCCCUUCUUUCCUCAUUAAUUACUUGUCACAUCAUCUAUUUUGCCUAGAGAUAUGUGAUGUUACCACAUACUCCCUCCGUCCGGGUUUAUUGUGCCCUUCAACAAAAACUCAAGGACCAAGGUGAUGUAUUAAUUCUAGUAGCCUUUGAUUUCAGAGCAUGCAAACAGCCAACCCCCAUUAGCUCGCAUUUAUUCCCCUAGCUGAUUUAACGCUUCGUCUCUGCAUGUAGCCAAUCAAGCGCACGUCUAGCACUUGCCCGCUGUAAAGGCAUGCGGCUGGUUGCAUGCUUCGAUUUAAUUGCAGUUAAUCACGACUACCUCCAGCUAAUGACUGUACAACAUGCGGUGAGGAAUCGAGGCAAAGUAAACUCGUAAUUGCAGCGGCCUUAUAAAAACAGUCUCUGCGUUCUUUGCUCUCGGGCCUAAUAAAUCCGGACGGAGAGAGUAUGUAACAUGCUCCCUCCUUUCCUGUUUAUAAGGCUGGUCAUAGUGGGGAGUAACAUAGACUACUAACAUGCAUAUGUUACUAGUAACAUGUAUAUGUUACUAGUCUAUGUUACUACCUCUAUAGUGCAUAGUACUUCCUCCGGUCCUUUUUACUCUGCAUAUUAUAUUUGUCUGAAGUCAAUCUCAUCCAACUUUGACCAAGUUUAUAUAAAAAAUUAUAGACAUUCACAUAACAACACCAAUAUCAUUAGAUUCAUCUUAGAAUAUAUUUUCAUAUUAUAUUUAUUAGAUAUUAUAGAUGCUAAUAAUUUCUAAUAUAAAUUUGGUCAAACUUAGCAAAGUUUGACUUUCGGCAAAUCCAAUGUGCAGAGUAAAAAGGACCGGAGGGAGUAUCAUAGAUUAGUAUUAUAGCUGGUCUCAUUUAUUGCCAUGCAUGACACAUAGUAGCAUCACAUUUAUUAUGUUACGGUAUCUACCUAUGUUACUAUAAUCAUCUCUCUCUUCUUUAAUUGCCUGCCACAUAAGCAUGUUUGCAAAUCUCAAGUGCAUGAUGCUACUUAUGUUACCCCCACUAUGGCCAGCCUAAGGCUCAAAUCUGAAAUCUCAUCAACCAAGACAUGUGGUGAGUGGAGGAAUGUAUCUCGUACUUUACAAAACUACCCAAACUAAAUUGAUGCAUUAAUUAAGAUUAAUUGCAGUGCAUGCAUGUUUGGCCACUAGAUGGGUAGUAGCAUUACAUGCAUUGGUGAGUUUCUUUUUAGUUCUUGCAUUCAAAGAUUUAAUGCGCCUUGGAAUCUCAAGAAGAGAUGGAGAUGAGCCCUUUAAAUUAGAAAAAUAAAAAAAUUGAGAUAAGCCCUAUAAACUAGAAAGGAGGGAGUAGGUGGUAACAUCAUACUUAUCUAGGCAAAAUGAAUGAUGUGGCAUGUAAUUAAUGAAGAAAGAGAGGCAUGUGGUAACAUAGCUAGUUACUGUAACAUCACACUUAUCAAAAAAAGAUGAGUCUACAACCUAAUAAAUAAAGUGAUGCAUGACACAACACAUAUGUUACUACCCACUGUGGAGGUAGUAACAUAGACUAGUAACAUAUACAUGUUAGUACUCUAAGUUACUCCCCACUGUGACUAGUCUAAGACAGCAAAGCUCACAAAACAUUUGGGUCCGGAUUCAUUUGAAUGCUUGGAAAGUGAUGGGUCGGAUGGAGCCAUGGAGGUUGGCUGUUAAUGUAGAAGAAUUCAGUCGAUAUUUUUCCGCACUUUACUCAACCUGGUUUUAUUGAUGUGCGAGUAGAAAACAAACAUGGAAAUAUUUGGAGAUUAACUUGCUUCUAUGGAGAACCGACGUGGGAGAAGAGGCACCUCUCAAGGAGUAAUCGGAGCUAUCCGCACCAUCAAGCUAAUAUCCCUUGGUUUUUGGCUGGUGAUUUUAACAAGAUCUUGUAUUCUUAUGAAAAGGAGGGUGGUAACAUGAGUCUUAUUAAAUUGAUGGAGGAUUUCAAGAAGGUACUAGUUGACUGUGGGUUAGAGGACCUUGGUUACUCAGGAGAUAUGUUCACCUGGUGCAGAGGUCACAAUAAGGAAAACGUCUUCAUUGUGCUGUAGGGAAUGGAUUGUGGCAAAGUCUAUUUCCUGUGGCUACGGUAACAAAUGGAGAUCAUUGCAAGUUCGACCACCCUCUGCUUAUAAUUUAUCUAGAGCCGUUUGAUGCUCCAAUCCUUCGGUCAAGUGGAUGCAAGAAGUUUGAAGCUCGGUUGGUCACAAGAAAAAUUGAUGCAUGAAACUCUAGUUAAGGCAUGGGAUGGUGCAGCAGGGGUGACUAAUUUCGUUGCGCGUACAUCGCUAGUGCAUGCUGAGCUUCACCGGUGGGACAAAGAAUUUCCGAAGGCCCCAAAAAAGAGGCUGGAAGAUGUGAAAGUAAGGGCUCCUUUGAUUCAUAGGAUUGGAUCCUAUAGGAAUUUUUUCCAAGGAUUUUUAUGUACUGCUAUUUCCUAUAGGAUUUUUAGCAUCCAGUCAAUCUUAUUUGAAAGAUUACUUUGUUUUUCCUACGGUGCUAUCAAACAACCUAAAAUCUGUAUGAUUGAGAUGAGCAUAGCAUUCUAAUCCUAUGUUUUUCAUAUUUCCAAGUUUUCAGAAUCCCGUGAACCAAAGAGACCCUAAGGCUUGAGGUGGCCCGUAGCUAGGGAGCAGCCAAUAAAUGAUAAUUCAACUCGGUUAUGGGAAAUCUUAAUGGAAAUUGAAUAUGUACUAGAACAUGAGGAAAUUUAUUGGUUGCAAUGUCGCCGUGCAAAUUGGCUUAAGAAUGGAGACCGCAAUACUAUUUUCUUCCAGAAUUUUUCUUCAGCCCGAAAGAAACUGAAUUUUAUUAAACGACUCAAGGGGGAUCAUGGAAACUAGUGUGAAGGUAAUGAUAAUUUGGUGGUCCCAUUUCAUCUUAUUUUGCUAAUCUAUUUAGUGCGGAUGCUAUUAAUCCAAAUAUGGAUGCUAUUAAUAAAGUAAAUCUUAGGGUUACAAAGUAUAUGAAUGACUCAUUAACCGUGUUAGAGUAGUCAUUAUGGUAUACGACUUCUAGUCCAAGUCAGUUUUGUACCCCUACCCCAAGUCGGUUUGUACCCUCUUAUAUACUCUUGUAUGCCGCACCAAAUCAUCAAUAAGCAACAGUUUUAUUCAGCUUUCAUGGUAUCAGAUACCGGUCCCAGGGUUUAGGGUAUGGCUCCGCCAACGCCACCGCCGCCCGGCUACUUCGAGCGCCGGGCCGCACUCAUCGCCAAGGCUGCCAACGCCGCGGCCGCUUCUCUCUCGGCCCUCACCAUAGCUCCACAAAACUACCCUGCACCCAUCCUCGCCGCACCAAUAUCUCUUGCUGACACAAUCUCCGACGUCAGCCCCUACAUCCCCAUAGUUCUUGAUCUCGCCGCCCACAACUACUACCAUUGGAGACAUCUCUUCGAUCUCCACCUCGGUCGCUGCAACCUGCGCUCGCAUGUCGCCGCCAACUGUCUUCCCCGCCCCGACGAUCCGCAAUGGUUGAAAGACGAUCUCGCGAUCGUCCAGUGGUUCUACACCCGCAUCACCACCGAAAUCUUCAACAUGCUCGAUCACGACGGCGCCACCGCUGCCAACAUCUGGCACUCCCUCCGUCAGCUCUUCCAAAGCAACACCGACGCUCGCAAAAACGCUCUCCACACCGAGCUUCGCAAUAUGGUGCAAGGAGACGCCCCGGUGAACCUGUUCUGCCAGCGCGUUAAGACCAUUGGUGAUGAGCUCCGCGAACUCGGCGAUACAGUUAGCGACUCACAGCUAAUCAAUAUCGUCGUCAUCGGCCUCAGCGAAGACUUUGACAAGCAAGUCUCGUUCAUACCGAUGAUACGACCCCCUCCUACCUUCGCUGAAGUUCGUUCCUUGCUACAACUCGCGGCGGAAACACAAGCUCGCAAGGACUCUCGCCCCAAGGUCUUUCAUGCUGUGGCUCAUCCUCCUCUGCCGUCUACACCAGCGCCGCCUUCCAGGCCGGCUCCUGCCGCGGGGCCGUCCGCAUCGUCAUCUGUUCAACCGCCCCCAGGCUGGCGUCCUAGUCCGAACUACCGCGGCAAAAACCCUAUCUACAGGCCGCCGUCGACUCGUUCGGUUCCGCCUACGACAUCACCAGCACCGAGUCUUGCACCACCCACCAGUGCUCCAUCUGCGGUUGCAUGGCGGCCUCCUCAUGAUCCUUGGACGGGGCUUGUUCAAGCAUGGCCCAUGCCCUGGUCCGCUCCGUCCACCCUCGGUGCUCCGCCAGCAUACUCAGGAGCCUGGCAACCCGGCCUUCGGCCGCCUACUGGUGCUCCCGGGGUUCUCAACCCCCGACAGCCGGCCAAUGCCUAUCACGCCGCCCCGACGUAUGCUCCUUAUGGUCAUUACAGCACCGACGGCGGCGCCUACUACACACCUCAGCCGGCCGUGCUCCCGACGCCACCCCCACCACAGUCGGCCAAUGCCUACUACACUCCCCAGCCGGCCCUACUGCCUUCACCAUCGUAUCCGCCGGCACUGCUUCCGACGCCACCCUCACCUGCGACGCCGAGCUGGGAUCAAGCUGCCUUUCUCCAGGCCAUGAAUAACUUUGCUGCACAAGGAAACUCAGGUACGGAUUGGAUCUUUGAUUCAGGGGCCUCCAGUCAUAUGUCUGCAUCUAGUAAUUGGUUAUCUUCUUGCACUAAAUCUCCUUUCCCUUCCAUUAUCCUUGGAGAUGGAUCGUCUAUUCCUAUAUAUUGUGUUGGUCAGGCUCAACUUCCCUCUUCCACCAAACCUCUUUUACUUCGCGAUGUUCUAGUUGCACCCGCCCUCAUUAAAAAUCUUAUCUCUGUUCGCCAAUUUACUUGCGACAAUCUAGUUUCGGCUGAAUUUGACCCUUUUGGUUUAUCUGUGAAGGAUUACCUGACCAAGGCCGAGAUCGCUCGCUUCAAUAGCUCCGGUGAUCUUUAUUCUCUUAAUGGAGUUCCUGCCGCCACCCCUCCAACAUCCAUGCUGGCCUCCGUCGAUCUCUGGCAUCGUCGCUUGGGCCAUCCCAACCCCGCCGUCUUAGCUUCUAUGCUUAGUGAAUUUACCAUACCAUGUAAUAGGGACUCUCAUAAUUCUGUGUUUUGCGAGUCUUGUCAAUUAGGCAAACAUGUGCGUCUUCCCUUUAGUUCCUCUAGUUCUUGUAGCACUUAUCCCUUUGAAUUAAUACAUUGUGAUUUAUGGACCUCUCCCAUUGCAAGUGUUUCGGGUUUUAAAUACUACCUUGUUAUUCUAGAUGAUUUCACCCACUUUGUCUGGACUUUUCCUCUACGCAACAAAUCCGAGAUCCAUUCUCUUUUCCUUAAUUUUCAACGCUAUGUGUCUGUUCACUUCUUCCUCCCAAUUCUCUUUAUCCAAUGUGACAAUGGUCGCGAGUUUGAUAACAUUAAAAUCGUACUUUCUUCUUACAACAUGGCAUCCUGCUUAGGUUCUCAUGUCCCUACACCUCCCCUCAAAAUGGUAAAGCAGAACGCUCUCUUCGCACCCUCAAUGAUAUAGUUCGCACUCUCCUCAUUCAAUCAUCUAUGCCUCCCAAGUUUUGGGCUGAAGCCCUACACAUGGCCACCUUCCUUCUAAAUAUUCAACCUUCCAAAACUAAACCCAACACUACUCCCUAUUAUUCCCUCUUUCUUUCCCACCCCGACUACUCCGCGGUUCGUGUUUUCGGUUGUCUCUGUUUUCCCAAUGCCUACGCCACUUCUGCAAAUAAAUUGUCACCACGCUCUAUCCCAUGUGCUUUUCUCGGCUUCUCUGACGAGCACAAAGGCUAUCGCUGUCUCGACCUUCACACCGGACAUGUUCAUGUCUCUCGUCAUGUCACGUUUGCUGAGCACAUUUUUCCUUUCUCACAACGCACUACUACACCAUCCAACACCCCUAGCUCCACAAACACCCCCUCUCCCCGUCCUUUCCAACUCUAUACUCCCCUACCUGCCGAACACAACUUAUCACCACCACCAUUAACACCCACCAUAGCCAAUCCCAACCAUACACUCACCCCACCCGAGACGUCCCCAACACCCCCGACCCCUGCUCCCUCCCCAACACCCCCGGCCCCUACUCCCACUCCACCAUCCAGCCCUGCUCCCACUCCACUACCCAGCCCUACUCCUUCGUCCGACUCUUCCGCUGCGCCGGACUCACCAGUACCCACCUUACGCCCUCGUGCUAUUCCUACAGCAGCCCCGAUUAAUGAUCAUCGCAUGCGCACUAGGGCCAAAUCAGGAUUUCAUCAACCCCAAGACCGCCUAAACCUUCAUACCUCUGUAUCUCUCACUUCUCUUCCAAAGAAUUACAAAACUGCUCUACUUGAUCCCAAUUGGGCCGGUGCCAUGCAAGAAGAAUAUAAUGCUUUACUUCAAAACAACACCUGGCAACUUGUUCCUCGUCCUCCCAAUACAAAUAUUGUUUCUGGCAAAUGGAUUUUUCGCCAAAAGUUCCACUCCGAUGGGAGCCUCUCACGAUAUAAAGCCAGGUGGGUUUGUCGUGGCUUUUCUCAGCAAUAAGGAAUUGAUUACGAAGAAACCUUCUCUCCUGUUGUUAAACCUAGCACCAUUCGCACCGUUCUUAGUGUUGCUGUCUCCUUUCAUGGCCCAUUCACCAACUUGAUGUUAAAAAUGCUUUCCUCCAUGGUUCCCUUCAAGAAACUGUCUACUGCCAGCAACCUCUGGGUUUUGAAAAUCCAUCCUUUCCAACUCAUGUAUGUCUUCUUCAGAAAUCUCUCUACGGUCUUAAACAGGCCCCACGAGCUUGGUUUCAACGCUUCUCCUCCUUCAUUCAAACAAUAGGCUUCACUCCAUCUCUCUCCGACACCUCUCUUUUUGUGUAUCAUCAAACUUCUGACACUGCCUAUUUACUUCUCUAUGUAGAUGAUAUCAUUCUUACCGCCUCCUCUCAAAAGUUCUUAGAUCAUAUUGUCUCUCUUCUUAGAUCUGAAUUUUCUAUGACUGACCUAGGACUCCUUCAUCAUUUCUUAGGCAUUGCUGUUGUUCGAGAUUUCUCCAGCCUUUUUCUUUCCCAACGCCAGUAUAUUCUUGAUCUUCUUAAUCGUACUGGUAUGCUUGACUGUCAAUCAUCUCGCACUCCUGUCGAUACUAGUUUUAAACUUUCGGCUACCGGUGAACCCUUUUCCGAUCCUACUCUCUAUCGUAGCCUAACAGGUGCUCUCCAAUAUCUCACCAUUACUCGUCCUGAAAUCUCUUUUGCUGUUCAACAAGCAUGUCUCUAUAUGCAUGAUCCCCGGGUUCCUCACUAUAAUCAUGUUAAACGCAUUCUUCGGUAUUUAAAAGGAACUCUCAAUCAUGGUCUCCAACUCAAUAAUUCUUCUCCAAACUCGCUUACCGCAUACUCUGAUGCAGACUGGGCUGGUUGUCCCGACACUCGAAGGUCCACUUCCGGUUUUUGUGUUUUUCUUGGUAACAAUUUGAUUUCUUGGUCUUCGAAAAGACAGGUUACAGUCUCACGUUCGUCGGCCGAGGCUGAGUACCGCGUUGUGGCACAUGCCAUUGCAGAUACAAUCUGGAUUCGACAGUUACUCUCCGAGCUACACAGGCCUAUUGAGCAGGCCACUAUUGUCUACUGUGACAACAUAUCAGCAGUCUACAUGACCAGCAAUCCAGUUCAACACCGACGCACAAAGCAUAUUGAGAUUGAUAUUCAUUUUGUUCGUGAAAAGGUUGCUCUUGGUCAGGUUCGGGUGCUUCAUGUUCCCUCUACGGCUUAGUUUGCUGACAUUUUCACCAAGGCACUGCCUACUAAGCCGUUUCAAGAUAUCUGUUUCAGUCUCAACGUCGUCGAGCCUACCGUUGAUACUGCGGGGGGAUGUUAGAGUAGUCAUUAUGGUAUACGACUUCUAGUCCAAGUCAGUUUUGUACCCCUACCCCAAGUCGGUUUGUACCCUCUUAUAUACUCUUGUAUGCCGCACCAAAUCAUCAAUAAGCAACAGUUUUAUUCAGCUUUCAAACCGCUCCAUACACAACGGAAGAAGUGAAAAAGCCUUAUUUAGCAUUGAUGAUCUCAAAGCCACUGGUCUUGACAAACUUCACAUGGGUUUUUAUUAAAAAAAUGGUCGUUGCUUGGGGAUGAUUUAGUUUCGGCUAUUCUGAAAGCUAUUAACUUGGGUACAAUACCGAAGGGAUGGAAUGACACCACACUUGUGCUCAUUCCAAAAACUAAUAAUCCGUAGAAUAUCACACAAUAUCGUCCCAUCAACUUAUGUAAUGUAGUCUACAAGGUAAUAUCCAAAAUGAUGGCAGAUAGGUUGAAAGUGUUACUUCCAGGGUCGAUAAGUGUAGGAACUAAGUAUAUCUACCAAAGGAGGGUGUGAAUGGGAGAUUUAAAAUUUAUUUCGAUAAAAACAUCAAAUCCCUCAGAACAUGGCAGCGGAAUAGAUGGAACAGAAACAAGUCACGAAGAAUAACUACCGAAAAACAAUAAGAGUGAUUACCGAACACAAAUAACAUGGUUGAAACUUAAACGAAGAUAUACUAUCAAAGAUAAAACAAGAUUAAGAUGAAACCAGUUAUGCUCGAUGACAACAAAGGAUUUGGUAGACCUGUUCGCCCUUCUACAAAAGGACUACGUAUGGUUGGAGGGACUUGUGAUUCAACACGUAGCUCUCAAGAGUAAAAGAUGGAGCGUACUAAACUUAGAUCUCUAUGAUGCUAAAUCACUAUCUAUAUUUUUGGCUCUUGGGGCUUUCUCUUGGUGGAUUUUAUACUCAAAUCUUCUGGAGAGAGGGUGCUCACACAAACUUCUCGAAAUCACAGAGCAGACAACAAUUCACGGUGGAGUGGGGUGGCUAUUUAUAGUCGCAGCAUUCCCUUAUGGGAAAGGACCAUGUAGGACAUGGAGUCCACCAAUGGCCAACCGACACGUUUCCAAUGGUCGUAUUUCAAACACCACUGACAACUUACUUGGGGAACAAGUAAGAUGACUCCUCGAUCCUAAGAAAAUCUCUCGCAGUCCAGAAGGGACCGACGAGUAUUUAUUCGGAACAUAAAGAGAUUUCUCUCCACUUUCAUAGAUUACAGUUUAGCAUCAGAGAAACAAAAGUUUCAAACACUAUAUAUACUCCUCUUAAUAGUAGAGUGGUCCUAUGACUCAAGAAAGAGAAAAUGAUCUAUGAAAGAAAAUAUUGCGUCUUUUCUCUGUUUUGAUUCUUCUCGGCUACAGUCAAUUUCUUCGGACAGACAUCGAACCAAUUGCUUUGCGUCAACAAUUUUUCGGGUCAAUUCGACACACUUAAUCUUCGGUGAUAAUAUUUGCUGCCCCGCAGGAGAUUAUCUUCGGAGCUUGUUUCAAACUCCCCAUGACUCUAGGGACCUAUUCUCUUUGUGUGUACUAGCAAACACAUUAGUCCCUCUCUGUUACCAACAACAAUCUUCAACUUACAAGGAGGCAAAUAUUGCACCAACAAUAAGUGACACUCAAAACACAUUUGUUCCGGGACGUAUUAUUACAGAUAAUGUUAUAGUGGCUUAUGAGUGUCUUCACACAAUGAAGAUAAAGAAACUAAAUAUUGGCAUGUGUGCGGUAAAAUUAGAUAUGCACAAAUCAUAUGACCGUGUUGAAUGAAGUUUUCGAAGAGCCAUUCUUCAUAGAAUGGGCUUCUCAAUGGCACUAGUCGAAAUGAUAAUGAAGUGUGUGGGCACACUAAGAUAUCAUGUCAUGUUCAAUAGUUUUGAGAUGGAUGAGAUUAUACCCACAAGGGGGCUUCGACAGUGGGAUCCUCUUCCCCCUACCUAUUUCUCCUUUGUACUAAUGGAUUGACAACAUUUAUAAAUGAGAAAAAAGGAACAAUUAUUGUAAAGGGGUGCAGGUAUGUGGAGAUUCGCUAUAGGCCACAAAUCUUUUAUUCGGUGGCAAUUCAUUAAUCCUUAUGAAGGCAGACUCACAGAAUGCAAUGGCCCUUCGCAAUUUUCUAUUAGAUACUGUGAAUCUUCAGGGCAAUUAGUAAGUGAAACUAAAUCCUCUAUUUACUUUAGCCCGAAUACUGAAGUUACAACUGAGGCCGAAGUUUGCCACAUACUAAAUAUACUCGUUGAGUCGCUAUUAGAUAAGUACCUUGAUUUACCCAAUUACCCUUGAUGGUGGGCCUUGAUAUGUCAGAGUGUUUUAUGCAUAUUAAUGAUCUGGUGGAUCAAAUGGUGAUGGUUGUAAAGAGAAAACCAUGUACCUUGGGGGCAAGGAAAGCGGUUGCUUAGGCAAUCCCAACAUAUUAAAUAUGUAAUGUCCGUCCUUAGUCUCCUAAAUAAAAUCCGCAAGGGAAUCACCAAUGCGAUGACACAAUAUUGGUGGGUUGAUGAUGAGAACCAGUGAAGAAUGCACUGGCUAGCAUGGUGGGCAACGUGUGUUCCAAAGCAUAUUGGACGAAUGGGAUUUAGUGACUUGGGUAGGUUUAAUAAAGCCCUCCGGGCAAGAAUGUUUGCGUAUGAUUGAAAAUAAUGAAUCCUUAUGUGCAAGAAUUCUCAGGGCUAAAUAUUAUCUGGAUAGCAAUAUCUUGUCAGUUAAGUUCACGAAGGGCUAUUCAUAUGUUUGGCAAAGUAUUUGCUCAGGUACCGAGACUUUGAAUCAAGGUUAUAUAUGGAGAAUUGGAAAUGGCUUAAAUGUUAACAUUUGGGAUGAUCCAUGGAUCCCUACGUAGCUCCAAGAAAAUAGUUAUGAGGUGACACUUCUCACUAUGGUACACGAGCUUAUUGAUCUGACUACUGGACAAUGGGAUUAAGUAUUAAUUAGAGAUAAUUUUGAGGGAGUUAAUGCAGACAGAAUCCUCCAAAUCCCACUUUCAAAUCUAGAGAUGGACGAUUUUGUUGUUUGGCGGUAUAGAAAGUCUCAUAAUUUCACGGUGCGAUCAACCUACUACCUUGAGUGGAAUAUUAGGUUUGGUAGCAAUUUUGAAGGAAGUAACAUCCAAGGUGGAUCAGCGGCCAACCCAAUUUCGAAGGUACUAUGGAAAUUAAAAUUCCCAGUCGAAGUCAAGGUUCAUGUGUGGAGGAUAUUACUGUGUGUGAUUACAUGUAAAUUUAUUCUUGCUGACCGGCAUAUGAAAAUUCAUAUUGUAUGUCCUAUGUGGCAAGUGCAUAUUGAAGACAUAUGACAUGCUUUAUUUGAAUGUGUUUGAGCGCAAAAAGUUUGGAAAACCCGAGCUUAAUGGAAAAAGUUGAAGAGCUUUGAUUGUUGACAGGGUUGGUUCGGUUGUACUAGAGGAACUGAUUUGUAGUUCGACUCAUGAUCCACGCUAUUUGCUCAAAUCCCUGUAUCAUGUCUAAUUGCAGUGGCUAGUUGGUUCAUAUGAUGGAAAGGAAGACAAUGCACAAAAGGAGAAAAUAUCCCUAAACCUAAACGUUCUAUUUUCUCAAUACAAGCCCUUGCUUUGAACUUUUGCCGGGCAUGUAUUGUUCAAUUUUCGGCAAAAGAGGUAAUGUGGGCUAAACCACCACAAGGUACACUCAAGUUGACUAUAGAUGCAUCAUUUGAUGACGAAAGGAAUACUGCCUCCAUGGGUGCGAUUUUGAUAGAUUGUGUUGGCUUCUUUAUCACAGCUGAAAUCUAUUAUAUGGGGACUAUCAAGUUAUUUGCGUUUUCCGCUACAAUGAUACAAUGUUUGAACUAACCUUGGGCUAGAUUUUGUAUUAGACAAUGCUAUUUCGUAUCCUUGUGAUGUACUAAAAUGAUGCAUUCGUGUUUGAUAUUAUACUAUAUCGGUACCGUGUGUGAUGGUGAAUCGAUCCGCACUGACAUGGUAAGCAUGGAUCGCUGAACCCUAUCAGGUUGGUCGUUACACCUGUGUACGGGGGACGUGGACGGAUACAUCCUGAGAGCGGCAUCUACCAAUCUGGCAAAGAGGGUGUCGCCGGCUGUGAGCGUUGUGGGCGACGAUUUGCAAGGGGAACGGCCUCGCCAGAGCUAUGCAGGACCAUAUAAUAGACGAUUUGCGUGCGUUGACUUAUUCUGCUGCGGAACCAUCGAUCCAAACAGACGUUAAGAACUGAAUCCGGCGACUCGAGGCGACCGGUCAACCGGCGACUACCGGUGCCCAUUCCUUUAUCAGCAGAGUACUCUUGUCAGCAUCCCGUUCAGAACUUUUCUAUCAAAACAUUGUAUAUCCGUACGUGCAGCGUGCAUGCAUGUUUUAACUUUUCUUUUCUUUCUCAGCUUAGAUAGAUCGAUCAGAAAAAGAUUCUUUUACCUCUUUCCAGGAAGCACUACGGUGACUAGAUGUAGCAAAAGGAGAUUCUUUCACACCCUAACUUCCGCGAAUUUUCUGCAUCGAUCCGUAGUCAUCUGCCCACGGUUUUCCUGAAACCAUGUACUCCAUCGGAUAUUAGGUUCACUGAUCCAUCGGAUAUUCAGAUGGACUACUAGAGAAGAGACAACAGAAUCAUAACAAUAUAGGAACAAUUCGGCACAUGAACUGAGAAUACAGCAGGAAGCAGCAGCCAGCAAUUGCUUCAAAAACACCAUAAUAUAGCAAACAGAACACAAUGACCAGAACAAUGAAAAAUACCAGUACGAGGCAGCGCUUAUUAUCACCCCGUCUUCUCCCUCCCACGGCAAGGAGUAUACAGUACUAGAUGGAAUGAACCACCAUAUAGUCGAACCACACUUAAUUAAACACAGUACACGAAACAAAGCAAACGGGAGAGAUCGAAGGGGCGCGCUUGCUUGCUUCCCUACACGAAUGCGGCGGCGGCCGCCGCGGCGCCAGCGGUGCGGAGGAUCUGGUAGUAGACCUGCGGGUUAGCCACAAACGCCGUGCGGGAGAUGAGGAAGCCGGCGGCACUAGGCGCCUUCAUCAUGGCGCCGGCCGCGGCGGGGGCGGCCGCAGCGGGCCAGAGGAAGUAGGCGCCCACGGCGCCCCCGAUGACCAUCGCCGCGGUCCCCACGGCGCCGUCGCGCGUCGAGACCAUGGCCGCUGUAUGGUUCUUGACGUAGCUGAGACCUGCGACGAUGUCGCCGGUGUUCAUCCCGGUAAGCCUUGCGGGCAGGUACUGAUUGGCCAAUGAGACGGUGGAGGCCACGGCCGCUCCUGUAUGGUUCUUGACGUAGCCGAGACCCGCGACGAUGUUGCCGGUGUUCAUCUCGGUUAGCUUUGCGGGGAGGUACGGCUUGGCCAACGAGACGGUGGAGGCCACGGCGCUCGCCUGUUGCUUGACGAGGUCGAGGCCGGAGAAGAGGAGGUCGCGGGUGUUCAUCUCGCCUGGUUUUCCUUUCCGACUUGUGGUUAUCUGUGUGGAGUCUGGACUAACCUCACUAGAUGGAUAGACGAAGCAAGGCAAAGCAUGGAUUUAUAGCGACGAAUGUGAUCUAUACCUAGGCGACGACCUUGACUACGUACCAACAGUACUACUAGUACUACUAUCGACUUUACGUUGGAAAAACACAGCACUAAUCAUGUCACCAUAUGAAAAAGAAUCCAAAGAUGAGGAAAGAGGCGACAAAAUCAUUCAUGGCUGGUCCCUACGUCCGCACUCGCCGAAAGCACCGGGCGUGGCGCGGAAGGCAGUCACCUCGACCAGGACGUUGUGUUUAAGAUCUGUAGAAGUUCACCCAAAAAAAACAUCAUUUUUUAAAAUUAUUUUCCUUUUUUGCUGGGGAAAAAGGAGUUUUAUUCCACAUUGAGGCAGUUACAGUCGAGAGGCAAAAUGUCCUCAAUACAUGGUGGUCCUGUGUGCAUUCACACAGCCGUGGCACACUCUAUACGACUAUUUAUUCCCCCUUCUUUUUUAUGAUUUUUGCAAUGUGUAAUAUACAUUCAUAUGAACAUGUUGAAUUUUUAUCAGAAUUUUUUUAAACUUAGGAAUACCAUUUUAGCACUAUUCCAAAUAUAAGGCUCGCGAGCUCAUCCACCAAAGUGAUUUUUUGCUAUUCCUACUUUUUUCGAAUAAAGCUAUUCUUACUCACUAAGUUUGCACCACUUCAUGUCUCCGAGCGUUCCUGCCUCAGGAUCCGUACGUGCAUUAUGCGUGUCGUACUUCAAAUGUUGGAGUCUUCAUACGGGACAAAAGCUAGUGACUAGAUCGAUCAAAAGGAGAUUCUUUCACCUGCUACCACGAUGCGACCACAAAACAGAGAAUGGUUUAAUAACUUUGCCACUAAUUUUGUCGUGUCACAUUUCAAGUUGAUACUAGUACCAGGGACGUAGCGGUAAAAACAUAUUUUCUCCGUCUGAAAUUACUUGUCUUAGUUUUAGAUACAUCUUUUUUUAUCCAUUUUGAUGACAAGUAUUUCCGGACGGGGGAGUAAUAUACAAGAGGAAUUCAACUCAAAAAAGCUAUAUAAGAGGAAAAUGGUACCAAGGCCUUGGCCUGACCGUUCAUUUAUUAAAAGAAAAAACCUGAACAAGCACCAGUUUGGGGUAGUAUGUCUGUAAAUCUGAACACACACACCGUGUGUGUGUGUGUCCUUGAAUAUUGAGAAUAUCCUAAUAGGAGUGAAUCUGAAUUGAUAAUGUAUUAUCAAUUAUAUUGGCAGGGAAGACCCUCAAUAUAAAAAUAUAAAUAAAUAGACAAAUAGAUAAGAAGAGCAAGCUCAAACAUGGCCAGAUGCUUCAAAGAAGAAGGCGGAAUUUUGAGUCAAGCCAACGGUGUGAGUCAAAUAAGACAACAAUGUGAGUUACGAGAAGAUGAGAAGACAGCAAUGUGAGUAACGAGAAGCUGUCAGUUUGUCGACCGCUCUCACAAAGGCAUCCUUAUCCAUGCUCUAGGUGGACACGUAAGAAGGCUAUGCCAUUUGAAUAAAGAGGAGAAGGCUCCCGAGCACCUCCCUCGUGGCUAUAAAAGGAGAAGUUGGCCUCAGAGAGGCAAAACACACACACAGAAGAGAUGUAGUCCAGAGCUUCGAGCAAGAAGAGCAGCAUCCAGAGCACUCUCAGUUAGCUUAGUAGUAGUACCAACACCACUUGUAAAAUAGCCACUAUAUCGAAGAUGUUGUAAUCGCCAAGAAUAAUAAGGUAUCUUUUUCAGCUUGUGUAACCCCUUUGGGGCCUCCCGAAAGGGAGAACCACAUGUAAAUUAUGUUGUGAAAAUGAUGUAGUUUCGUGCUUCACUUGGGUUUUUUAUUUAUGAAUUUAUGGGAUGAGUUCUUAUGUUAGGGACCCUACAGGAGAAACUCUGCUAGUAGUUCUCUGUUUAGCCUUGUGUGGCGUUUGAAUGAGAACAUUAUGCCCGUAGAGAAGUGUUUCCUUCAGGUGAAAUUGCCUGCGAAGACGAUAGGAAUUUAUCCCAUAAGUUUGCAUUUAAAAAGAUCAAGUGAACGAACCUAGCUACAUCUGAAAACAACAUAAUGAAAAAUAUGAUGAGUACUAAGUAGGAUACAACACCACUGCGCACAUCACCGGUUGUACUGUUGGCCUCACCAGCCCUUAAUAGAUCAAGCAUUAGAAAAUAACUAGCUUGGUAAAGAAUAGAACCUGCAAACAAUAGCAAAGAAUUAAAUAUUGUAGUGAAUAGUGAAUACUAUUCAAAUAGAAUAUUAGCGUAAUCGUAGAUUAGCCUAAUCGCAUAUUAGCUUAUUAACUUAAUUGCAUAUUAGGCCAUUAGGUUAAUAUUCUAUUUGAAUAGUAUUCACUAUUCACUAUAAUAUUUAAUUCUUUGCCGCUGUUUGCACGUUCUAUUCUUUAUUAAGCUGAUUAUUUUUUAAUGUAGCAUCUAUUAAGGGAUGACGAGGCCAACAAUACGACUAGUGGUGUGGGUAGUGAUGUGAUAUCCUACUCAGUACUCAUCAUAUUUUUCUUUAUGUUGUUUUCAGAUGUAGCUAGGUUCGUUCACUUGAUGUUUUUGAAUACAAACUUAUGGGGUAAAUACCUAUCGUCUUUCCAGCGGUUGCACCCGAAGGGAAUACUUCUCUACGACCACAACAUUCUCAUUCAAACACCACAAAAGGCUAAACAGAGAACUACUGAUGGAGGUUUCUGAUGACCCACAAGUGUAGGGGAUCUAUCGUAGCCUUUUCGAUAAGUAAGAGUGUCGAACCCAACGAGGAGCAGAAGGAAAUGACAAGCGGUUUUCAGUAAGGUACUCUCUGCAAGCACUGAAAUUAUCGGUAACAGAUAGUUUUGUGAUAAGGUAAUUUGUAACGGGUAACAAGUAAUGAAAGUAAAUAAGGUGCAGCAAGAUGGCCCAAUCCUUUUUGUAGCAAAGGACAAGCCUGAACAAACUCUUAUAUAAGGGAAAACGCUCCCGAGGACACAUGGGAAUUAUCGUCAAGCUAGUUUUCAUCACGCUCAUAUGAUUCGCGUUCGUUACUUUGAUAAUUUGGUAUGUGGGUGGACCGGUGCUUGGGUGCUGUCCUUCCUUGGACAAGCAUCCCACUUAUGAUUAACCCCUAUUGCAAGCAUCCGCAACUACAAAAGAAGUAUUAAGGUAAACCUAACCAUAGCAUCAAACAUAUGGAUCCAAAUCAGCCCCUUACGAAGCAACUCAUAAACUAGGGUUUAAGCUUCUGUCACUCUAGCAACCCAUCAUCUACUUAUUACUUCCCAAUGCCUUCCUCUAGGCCCAAACAAUGGUGAAGUGUCAUGUAGUCAACAUUCACAUAACACCACUAGAGGAGAGACAACAUACAUCUCAUCAAAAUAUCGAACGAAUACCAAAUUCACAUGACUACUUAUAGCAAGACUUCUCCCAUGUCCUCAGGAACAAACAUAACUACUCACAAAUCAUAUUCAUGUUCAUAAUCAGAGGGGUAUUAAUAUGCAUAAAGGAUCUGAACAUAUCAUCUUCCACCAAAUAAACCAACUAGCAUCAACUACAAGGAGUAAUCAACACUACUAGCAACCCACAAGUACCAAUCUGAGGCUUUGGGACAAAGAUUGGAUACAAGAGAUGAACUAGGGUUUUAGAGGAGAUGGUGUUGGUGAAGAUGUUGAUAGAGAUUGACCCCCUCCCGAUGAGAGGAUCGUUGGUGAUGGCGAUGGCGAUGAUUUCCCCCUCCCGGAUGGAAGUUUCCCCGGCAGAACAGCUCUGCCGGAGCCCUAGAUUGGUUCCGCUAAGGUUCCGCCUCGUGGCGGAGGAGUUUCUUCCCGAAAGCUUGCUUAUGAUUUUUUCCAGGGUAAAAGACUUCAUAUGGCAUAAGAUGGUCACCGGAAGCCUGCUAGGGAGCCCAUGAGGCAGGGGGCGCGCCCCCACCCUCGUGGCCAGGGUGUGGGCCGCUCUGGUUAAUUCUUCCUCCAGUAUUUUUUAUUAAUUCCAAAAAUAACUUCCGUGGAGUUUCAGGACUUUUGGAGUUGUGCAGAAUAGGUCUCUAAUAUUUGCCCCUUUUCCAGCCCAAAAUUCCAGCUGCCGGCAUUCUCCCUCUUCAUGUAAACCUUGUAAAAUAAGAGAGAAUGGGCAUAAGUAUUGUGACAUAACGUGUAAUAACAGCCCAUAAUGCAAUAAAUAUCUAUAUAAAAUCAUGAUGCAAAAUGGACGUAUCAUUUUCUCCUAUAGGAUCUUUAGCAUAAGAACUCGUUCCAUAAAUUCAUAAGUAAAAAUACCAAGUGAAGCACGAAACAACAUCAUUUUCACAACAUAAUUUUCAUAUGGUUUUCCCUUUCGGGAGGACACGAAGGGAUUACAAAAAAAGGAUACAUUAUUAUUCUUGGCAACUAUAGCACCUUAGAUAUGGUGGCUAUUCUACAAGUGGUGGUUGUACUACUACUAAGGAAACUGAGAGUGCUCUGCAGGCUGCUCUUCUUGCUCGUAGCUCUGGACUCUGUCUCUUCUGUAUGUGUUCUCCGAAGCGCUCAGACCUCCUACUUUAUAGUGUGGGAGGGAUGCUAGAUGCUCCCUUCUUUAUUCUUCCACGUCAUACUUGGAACCUGGAGUAAACUAUAGCUUGACGCCUUAUGCACCGCUGAAGUGCCUCAAACUUUGCACAAUCAAGCCUUGCAUGACUCUCAUGCUAGAUUGGUGUUUUUGUCUAGAGUGAGUAUUUUGUCUAGAGUGAGAACUUUCUCCAGACUGAGAACUUUGUCCAGACCGAAGGCUUUGUCAUGGUUGAAAUCC
rnacentral:lncRNA from 1 species